rnacentral:lncRNA from 1 species
UAAACCACCCCCAAAUCCUCAACUUCACAUGGACUCAAAGCCAAACCCCAGCUUCCUCCCCAGACUUCCUCAUUCUCUCCAUCCUCACUUACCUCUCCCUCACAUUCAUCCUCUACCACAAAUUAACGCCAACAUCACCAUCAUCAUCACCUCUCAUUGGACCCCACAUCCUCAAGCCCAUCACAGCCGUCCAUAACCUUACCCUCCUCCUCCUCCCCCUCGUCAUGGCCGUUGGUUGCACUCUCUCCAUCGUCCUCCAUUCACCCGACCUCCGUCACACCCUCUGUUUCCCCCCCUCCAUUUCUCCCUCCGGUCCCCUCUUCUUCUACGCUUACAUCUUCUACCUCUCCAAAAUACUCGAAUUCCUAGACACCCUUUUGAUCAUUUUGACAAACUCCGUUCAACGGCUCACGUUCCUCCACGUCUACCACCAUGCAACCGUCGUCGUAAUGUGCUACCUUUGGUUACAGACGAAGCAGUCUUUGUUUCCUAUCGCACUUGUCACCAAUGCAAGUGUGCACGUGAUCAUGUACGGGUACUAUCUAUUGUGUGUGAUGGGGUUGCGGCCAAAGUGGAAGAGAUUGGUCACUGACUGUCAGAUUGUUCAGUUCGUGUUUAGUUUUUUUGUUUCAGUUUUGAUGCUGUAUUAUCAUUUUGCGGGAUUUGGAUGCUCUGGGAUCUUGGGUUGGUGCUUCAAUGCUGUGUUUAAUGCUUCCCUUUUGACACUUUUUAUUAAUUUUCAUUCCAAGAGCUAUGCUAAGAAAAAGCAGGGAUGAUCAAAACAAAUCGUCGUUGUGAUUGUUCUCUGUGUGUGUUUUUUUUUUGUGGUUAAUUAUGAAUGGUUGUGAUCGGUUCAUUGCAUUUGACAGAGAUGUUGAAGGGUUAUGUACUGGAAAAUAGAAAUUAAACCAAAAUUAUCACUAUAACUGGUACAUUAUUACCAUCACAGAUCAAGAUCUGAAUGGACGCAUAGCAGCCAUCCUCAAAACCAAAGGAGGAGAAAAUUGAAAUAGAACAACCACCUUAAGGUGAAGAAGGCCAGAACAAGACACACAUCCUCAAAUCAUAAGGAAGAGGUGGGUGCAACCGAAAAAAAAAAAGAAAAAAAGAAAUCAAGAAUCCACUGGAGAAGGCAAGAAAGAUUUUUGCCUCCGAAGAUUUGGUGAGGAAGAGAUGAGGAGUUAGAAGAGGAAAAGUUUUCGGAGAGAUCUGCAGAUUAGCUUUAAAAGUGUGUUUUAAAGAAAAAGUUGUUGAGAACUUGAGAGGAUACAUAUGCAAUCAAUCCUUUACUCUUCAUGUUUGUGGACUAUGUGGAAUGUUUAUCCACUGAGUGUAAUCGUGACGGUUGGAUUGAGUGAUUAAAAUCACACGGCUGAUAUUAGUUGGUUCUAUGUUGGAGUUGAUCCAACAUAGCCUGAGCCUUUAAAUAAAAAACAAUACAACCCAUGCAUCCAAGCACUUAAAGUUGGCUUGAGUGCAUGGGUUAUUGUCAAUUUUCUUUCCAAUUAAAUUAGAUAGGGAUAAAAUUAUCUCUUUAUUAAUAAGAAUAAAGUAGAUAUCUCUCUAACCACUCGGCUCAGCCCGAGUGGCCAGGGCUGCUGCCCUCCAAUUUGGAGGGCAGCAGUUCGAACUCCCACAAAAGUAUUGUAGGGGUAUUUUCUUUUUCAAUUAAUUGAGUGAAGGUAGUCUUCUUCUUUACCCAUGAGUGAUGAGUAGACAUCUCUCGAAUAUUUGUGAGGGUUAAAAUCUGGGCAGAGCUUCAUUAGCAUUGAUGUAAGUUGGUCCCAAUAAUAGUCUGAUUUGUAAAUAUCAGUUAUAGUCUCAUGUAAUAUGAGUUGUAAUCUGAGCAAUAGUCUCAUGUAAUAAAAAAAAAAGUAGACAUCUCUCUCGCUUUUCCUCUUAAUUAAACUUAAUAGGAGUAAAAUUAUCUUCUGAUUAAUAAGGAUAUAAUAUAUACCUCUCUAAUAUUAUGUGAUGGUAGAAAUUUGAGUUGUACCGUAAUAAAAUUAUCAAGGUUAGUGUUGAUAGAAUUAAUGCAAAGAAUUAAGAUAAAGCCUCAAAGAUGGAACAAAGGUUAAAAAAAAAAAAAGAGUACAAGACAAAGAAAUAAGGAAACAAAAGAAGACCAAAAAUAAAAGAAAAAAUAAUUUGGAAAACAAAAAAAUGGAUUGCAAUUUUAAACUUUAAUGAAGGAUAAAUUGUAGUGGAUGCCAUUGUUGGUAAUUUAUUAUAUUUCAAAGCUCAAAUAAGGAAUAAAAUUAUUAUUAUUAUUUUUUUGCAAUAACUCGUUUCAAAUUUUAAAAGAUUAUAACUUUUUGUUUUUUAACAUUUUAAUCAUAAAUUAAAAAGGAGUUACUAUUCAAGAUUCCUAAGAAUACUGAAAAAAAUGAUAAAUAUUAUUCUAAGAAAAUGAUAUAUAUUGGAUAUACUGAAAUAUUAUAAAUUAUUAAUUAUUUUACUAUUUUACCCCUUAGUUUUAUGUUUGGGGGAAAAAAAUACUAAAAUGGCUUUCAAUAAAAAGAAUUAUUAUUAAAAAAAUAAGAUUAAAAUUAUAACAAAUGAUAUUAAUAAGAAAGAAACUGAUAAAAAUUUGGGAUUAGAAAUAGGGGUUAAGGCUUUAGUCCUUGAAUUUCUCUAAAUUUUAUAUAUUUUUUAAUUUUUAACCCGUCAAAUUACAUUAUUAAUGGAAUGUCAAUAAAUUUUGCGCGUUAAUUUGUCUUUUAGAUACUUUGAAAGGUAAAAUGGUAUUUUGAAUGUAAAAGUCAACUAAUUAAUUAAAUAUUUAUAUUCCUAAGAUAUUUAAAUUCAAGAGAAGGGUAAAAAUUAUUUUUUAAAUUUUCAUUGUGGUGAUAUCAUAAAAUAAAUUUGUGAUUAUCAUACUUGUUUUAUAGAUUAAGAUAUAAGUAAAAGUUAAAUUAAUCUUUUAAUGGUUUUUUUACUUUUUUUUUCUAUAGGGAGUUAUUAUUAAUAAUUUCUUUUGUCGUCUAACUUGAAAUAUAAUAGACCUUAAGGGGCGAAAUAAAAUUAUUUUUGUUAACUCCACAAAACUGUUAAUUAGUUAGGGUUAGGGGCAUUCUCAUAUUUUUUAAGUCAACAUCAGUUAACUAUUAAAAAUAACAGUAUUUGGCAGGUAAAUUGAAGUUUUCGUAUUUUUGGAGGGUAAAUUGAAGUAUUUCAAUCUAAUAAGGGUGUGGGAUGAAAUUUAACUAUAAGUAAAUUAUUCGUGAGGCAUGCUUUUUACAACUUUUGUUUUCUUCCUUUUUUUUUCUUUUGAGUUUUUGUUUUUGUUUUACAUGGCACUGACCCGACCAGUACAAAUUAAUUUUAGAAUAUUUACAAUUAUGUACCAUAGUUGUGGAGUAGAAUCAUAGAAAUUAAAGAUGGUAAAAUUAUUGAUGUGUGGGGUGGGGGAGGAUAACUAUUAACUUUUUUCAUGCAAUGUAAGAAGAAUGCAACUGCUCCUUUGAUUUGGUAUUUUCGUAACAAAAGCACACUUAACAUCUUAUCAAAUUAUAUCUCCUUUUCCUUGUCAGAAUGGCGGAUGCGAUCGCUUCCCCUCUUCUUGGGCAACUGAACUCCUUUGCUGCUUAUGAAAAAGUGAAACAACAGGUGAGGUUUGUGACUAUUCUCCAACAAGUGAAAAAGCUUACCACAAAUCUUCAAGCCAUUCAAGCUGCUCGAAGAUACGUAGCAAAGGCAAGUUGAUGUAGGAUGGUUGCAUAGAAUGAGUAGGUAUCUUCCGAAGGUCAUAACUUGAGACACAGAUAUCCGUUCCAUUUUGAAUGUAUAGUAUAUCGUUUCAAAGCUUGCAAUAAGUUGAAUCAAAUGCAGAACAAUCUACGCUAUCCUGCCCUGUGGUUGAGCAAAAAAAUUCACUUCUUUUUUGGUUGUUUUUUAGUUUUAAGAUAUUUUUCUAAUUUGUCGUGAUUCUUUUGGGAUUUUUAUCCUUUGUUUCUAGAUAUUGGAUUUGAGUUCCAUUUGUUUUCCUUUUCUUAUUUAGAUUAGAAGGAUUUUAUUAUCAUAUAAUAUUUUGGAUUUGCCUAUUUUGGUAAAUUCCUAAUAUUUGUGCUUCUAUAAAAGUGGUUCAAUACCCCAAUUUUGUUUGUUCAAAUUAUUCGCAAUAAAACUUUUUAUUUAAAAACCUAGUUUCUAUUAUCUAAUAGCCUUUUAAUGUUUCCUCAUUGUCAGCUGGUAUUAGAGUAAGUUCGCUUGUUAUCAUGAUGUGACCACACGAAGGGACAACCGUCCCGAAGACAUUCAAGGGAAGUAGACAACGACUGUGGAGGCAGAGGCGAAGCUCAGGGAAGGCUAACACGGGCUGCAGCCUGGGUAAGCUUUUUGAAAAAAAAAUUAUUUAUAAUUUAUAAAUUUACUUUUAUUAAUAUUUAUAAAAAAAUAAAAACAAAGCCAAUAUUUAUAGGAAUCUUUAUUUUACCCAAAUCACAAUUCAUAAAACUCACCAGUAUCUAACUAAAUCUGAAUUUGAAAUUCACCAAAAUACAAUUGCUCAAGUCUCUUACCGCUGCUGAAUACCCAGUCUCCUGCGCUUGAAUUGACGCCCAGCCACUGCCUCAUGAGUGACGCCGAGCCACUGCCACAAGGCCCGCACCCGCAGGUUGAAUCUCUCACCGCCGAGCCGACGCCGAAUGCCUAGUCUCUUGAUGCAGCCCCUGGUACAAAGCACUUUGCCUUUUAAACUUUAGUUUACAGAAUAUAAUAUGAUUUUAUGAUAAUGAUGGUUGGCACACGAAGUGGAAUUGUGGAAGACUGGAAGUUGUUGAUUUUGUGAACUGUGAUUCAUCUUUUUAAAAUUAUAAAAUAAUAGAAUGUGACAAACGGUGAUGAUAGCAUAUAAAGUGGAACUGUGAAAGGUGCUGAUUCAUCUUCUUGGAAUUAUAAAAUAAUGAUGGCAUGAAAGAAUGAGUGAAUAAAAUAGUAAAACAAUUAAUUUAAAUGCUGACUUUUUUAAUUAGCUUUUAACUUGCGAUUUUUUCAAAUUUUUUAUAAAAUAAAUACUAAAUUUUAAUGUAUUUUAUUACAGAUUCAAUGUUAAAUAAACCAAGAAAAACUCUACUUUCUUUUUUUAAGAGAGUAGGUGAAAAUCAAUCAUCCACUAAGUCUUUAUCUCCAUGUCAAGUUAAUGCUCAAGAUUCCAAUGAGCAACAUACUUCCAAGUUUCAAAGGGUUGAAGUUGAAGAAACUAGAAAUACUUAUCUAGAGCGUGAUCCUGGAUUACGUCAUCAAAUAGGGACAUAUUAAGUAAAUCAACGUGAUGAUAUUAGAAGGGAGUACAUCAAAAUGGGACCUUAUUAGCCUAAACUACGAGAUUAUCCACUAACUAAUGAUGGCAUGCAAGAACGUAGGUUUCACUAUCACUGGUUUAAAAAAUUUCCAUGGCUUGAGUACUCUGAGGUAAAAGGUGCAUUUUGUUUUCCAUGCUUUCUUUUUUAUGAAAUUCCAUCAAACAACCCAAAAUUUGUUAUUGAAGGAUUUUCUAGUUGGAAGAGAGUCAACAAUGGAAAAAAAUGUCCCUUUUUACAGCAUGAAGGGGGUCCAUCUUCUCAUCAUAAUAAGAAUAUGCAGAGUUAGGGUUGUUUGAGGAACCAAAUUCAACACAUUGAUAGAUUAAUUAAUGCCCAAACUUCACAACAACUUUUGGAGAAUAGGCUACGAUUGAAGACCGCAAUUAUUGCUGUUAAAUGGUUAGCAAAGCAAGCAUGUGCUUUUAGAGGUCAUGAUGAAUCAGUUAAUUCAAGAAAUCGGGGAAAUUUCAUAGAGUUGAUAAAGCAUUCAAUGGAGUGUAGUAAAGAAAUUGCUCAAGUUGUCUUGGAAAAUGCUCCAUCAUAUGCUAAGUAUACAUCGUCUGACAUUCAAAAAGAGCUUUUAAAUAUUCUUGCAAACAAAGUGCGAAACAAGAUACGCAAGGAACUUGGAGAUGGUAAGUUUUGUAUUUUAGUAGACAAAGCACUUGAUGAAUCUGAUAAAGAGCAAAUGACUAUUAUUUUAAGGUAUGUUGAUUGUGAUGGGUAUAUUCGAGAACGUUUUUUUGAAGUUGUCAAUAUCAUGGAAACUACAGUAGUAACAUUGAAAAAAGAAAUAUGUAAUGUUCUUGCACGAUAUGAUAUUUUAGUUGAAAAUAUCUGAGGGCAAGGGUAUGAUGGUGCUAGUAACAUGUGGGGUGCAUGGAAUGGAUUACAAGCAUUAUUUUUGAAAGAUUGCCCAUAUGCAUAGUAGUUACACUGUUUUUCACAUCAACUACAAAUUGCUUUAGUUGCAACAUCUAAUGAUGUGCUAGAUGUAUGGCUUUUCUUUUCAGCAUUGGGUUCAAUUGUAAAUGUUCUGACUUCAUAUGCUAAACGGCUUUCUGAGUUAAAAUCUAUUUGGGAAGCAGAAAUAAUAGAUUUGAUAGCUUCAGGAGAAGUUCAAACUGGUACAGGGGCCAAUCAAAUUCAUACUUUGCAACGGCCUGGAGCUACUUGGUGGAGCUCUCAUUUCCGUUCUGUCAGUAGGUUGCUUGAUUUGUUUAGUGUUGUUCGUAAAGUUCUUGGGAAGUUGGUAGAGUGUGGACCUAACAAUAGCAUAUGUGGAGAGGCUAAAGGUGCAUGUGAAUCAAUGACAUCUUUAAAAUUUGUGUUCAUUUUGCAUUUAUUAAAUAAAUUUUUGGGGGUGAGUGAUUUACUUUCUCAAGCAUUACAAGUUAAAUCUCUAAAUAUUCUAAAUGCUAUGCACUUAGUCUCAACUACGAAAAAACUUCUUCAAAGGCUGCGCGACAAUGGUUGGGAAACUUUCAUUGAGAACAUAGUUCUAUUUUGUGAAAAGAAUGAGAUAGAUAUGCCCGAUAUGAAAGCUCGCCAUAUGAAAGGCAGAGGACGUUCUUGUCAUCAGAAUGAUUAUAUUACAGUUGAGCAUUAUUAUCAUUAUGAUAUAUUUAAUGUUGUGAUAGAUUUUCAAUUGAUGGAGUUGAAUAAUAGAUUUACUGAACAGACUGUGGAACUCCUCACUCUUAGUUCAGCUUUAAAUCCUAUUGAUGCAUUUAAAUCAUUUAAAAUUGAAGAUAUUUGCAGCCUUGCUGAAAGAUUUUAUCUUGAAUAUUUCACUAAGAUUGAGUCACAGGCUUUGAGAAGACAAUUAGAGUGCUUUGAAAUAGAUAUACACUCUCUUCAAGAGUUUCAGAAUAUUACUUUCCUUUCUGAAUUGUGUCGAAGAUUGGUUGAGACUAGAAAGUCACAGAUUUAUUUCUUGUUGGAUAGAUUAAUUCGUUUAGUGUUAACGCUUCCUGUUUCAACAGCAACAACAGAGAGAGCAUUUUCUGCCAUGAAACUGAUUAAGACAACACAUCGAAACAAGAUGGAGAAUGAGUUUCUUUCAAAUUGUAUGGUUAUUUACAUCGAAAGAGAAAUUGCAGACAAUAUUGACUCAGAUGCGAUAGUAGAUGAAUUUUCUUUUUUGAAGAACCACAGGACACAACUUCGUCAAUAGUGUUUUUCUUAUUUACAUUGUAUUUUUAUAGUUUUAUGGUUAAAUUUUUGCUUAUGUAGUGUGCUUAAUUUCAUUUAUAUAAAACAAAUUUUUUGAGAAGUAAAUUUAAUUUUUUUAAAAUCUAGCCCACCCAAACAAAUGAUGCUAGCUUCGCCAUUGGAGGUUAUCAGAUAGAUGGUCAAAGAAGCAAUCUUUUAAGUCAUGGAGUACGCAUAUAAUGCAAGAAUGGCAACAGACAAAUAUUAGGUUAUCUCUUGUAAACCAUAUUGAUAAAUCUAAUGAGGGAAAGAUAUUUUUUUUCUUGUCCUAGAUGACGUGUGGGAUGGAAGUUACAAUCAAUGGGAACCAUUCUUCUAUUGUUUAAAGAAUGGUCUCAACAGUAGUCAAUUUUUGAUUACUACACAUUAUUAGAUAGUAGCAAGCAUGAUGAGAUUAACAAAUAUUGUUUUUAUUAAGGAAUUAACUGAAGAAGAAUGUUGGUCAUUGUUUAAGCAAGUAGCAUUUUUUGGUCAAUUUUUUUAAGGAUAGUGACCAAAUGAUAAAAAAAUUGCAUGCAGGGCCUGCCUCUUAUUGCAAAGGCAAUAGGGAAAUUCUUACAAUAUAAAUGACCAACAGAAGAAUGGAAAAGAAUUUUAGAUAGUGAUAUGUAGAAGGUAGAAGAGAUUGGGAACAAUAUUAAUAGGGAAAUUCUUACAAUAUAAAUGACCAAUAAAAAAAAUGAAAACUACACUAUAGAUGGCUCAAAGUUACCUUAUUGUAUAAGAAGGCCAAGAGAUGAGGAUCCAAUCCAAUCUAAUAGUAGUAGUUCAUUUCAAUUUUUAUUCAUUUGAUUUUGUAGUAGUAGUUUUCAUUUUUUUUGGUUGAAAAUUGGUAAAAACAAAUUCAAAUGAGUUAAGAAUUUCAUUUCAUCUUCAAGAACUAAAAUAAUUUUAAAAAAACUCAAAAUAAACAAAAUAGGCUCAAAAACACCCCUAAUCCCAACAUUAUCUUAAUCCAUCCUAGCUGACCGAAUUUUAUUUUAAUCAAACCCCAACUUGAUCCCCAUAUAAUUAUAACCUGAUGCAAUCCAAACUAAACUUGAAUUUUUGAUUUGAUACAAUCCAAUCUGAAUAUUCUAACCCAAUCAACCUAAAACCCGAUUAAGUUAAUCUGAACACAAAUUUGCCCACUCCUAGCGAGGAUCAUGACCCUACAAGCUUGGAAAAAUUUUGAGGUUUCGAAGUGAAAUAUUAAAAAUUAGGUAUAAAAAGAUUGAUUUGACCCCUAAGAACUUGAUAUAUAAAAUUUAUACAUAUAAUAGAAAUUUGAUUUAUAUAUUAUUAAAAUAAAAUCAAGUAACUCGAUUUUUUAUUGUAUUAAUUAUUUUUCCAUUAUGACGAUAUGACAAAUAGAAUUUACCCCAUAUGGUACAAAGUCGCCAAAUAAAAUCGCUGCAGCCUGUAGCUAAAAGCAAAAUUCUAAAAUUUCGAAAUUCCUAACAACUAUAUAAUAACUAUAAAUAGAAAAACAGUCUAAAAUUAAAUCCUCAGCUAACAUUUUAAGUUUGAAGUUGGGGCCUCCUGAAGAUUUACCCCAUAUGUAUGUACUUUCCCUCAACACUCUUGGCCGAAUAUCUUGCAAACAUAUGAUACUAAAGUGUCAUUUUUUUGUUUAAAACAAAAAAUGACACUUUAAAGCAAUAGGAGAGUUUUAUGUAUUAAAAUGGUUAACGGGUGGAUAAAACUCAAAAUAAUUUUUUAACGUUUUAUCUGUUUUGACAUUCGAAUUUUAAACUUGAGAAGUCAAGCAAUCAAUAAACCUUUUUGAGAGGCUAAUUAAAUUCUUAGUAAUUUCACAUAAUUUCAUUUCAUCAGAACAGUUUUAUCAAAAGCAAUUUUAUAAAUCGUUGUUGAAAGCUUUAUUCCUUAAUUAUAUUUAUUAAAUAUCAAAAGAUUACUCUUCUAUAUUAAUUAGAUAUGUCUUUAUAAUGAGACAUCAUUUAUUUUAAAAUUGUUCCAACACUAAGAUUAUUCUAUUUUAUAUAACUUCAGAAGGUUCAUCAGUAGAUUGCUCCAAGCUUUUUGUAGUAGUUAAUUACUUAUAAUAUAAGAAAUUUUACAAGUGCGGAUGCUGAGUAGACUGCAUAAUUAUUAUGAAUCAGAGAAACAGGGCAGAUGUUGCACAAUUAUUGGUGCGGUUGAGCGGAAUGCAAAAAUGUUUGAAUGAGUACUCUGCCUACAAUCACAACAACUACUUUUCUUUGAGCAUUUUCGCAACAAAAGCAAUCGGAACAUUUAGCAAUUUAAUCCAACAUCAAUUGGCUGAUGACAUCGUUUCCCAUCUCUUGGGGAAACUGAUCGAAUUCCUCUACCUGAUAUUUCAGUAAGAUAGAAAACGUGACAUAGACAAAACACGUGCUCAUACGUUAAAGAUGCGGCAAAUUUGAGAAUAUUUAUUAUUACGUUAAAGAUGCUACAAAUGUGUUCAUCGGAGGAGUGGAAUCUGGGAAAUUAAAGAUGCUACUACAAUUACGAACGUGUGGGUGGGGAAAAGCAUAACUUUUUGCUUAUAAGAGUGGGGACUUCUUUGCAUAAAUGUCGAUAAAAGUUUGACUAAGAUCUUAUAUAUUGGAAAUUAAGAUAUUCUCUCUCUGCAUAUUUCUGUAGGAAAUAACAUGCAGAUAUAUAAUUUUAGGUUAUUGUUAAUGGUUUUACAAUAAUAAAAAUAAUUUUGUUAGACCAUAAAAUGCCGUACUCACACUCUAUUUUGUGCAGAAGUCUGCGAGAAAGGAUUUCCAUAUAUAUAUAUAUAUAUAUAGAGUCGUGUACUACAGAUUGUUAGGAAAUUGGUGGGUGAAGCAGGACCGCAGCUAAAAUAAAAUUGGAAGAAAAAUAAAGAACAAGCACAAAAGAGAAUACCAGAAAUUACGUGGUUCUGCUUUUAGCCUACGUCCACGAGCGAAGACAGAAGGAAAUAUUUUACUAGUAAAAAGGAGUUACAAGUAUUGUAAUAUUUUAGCUCACUUCCCAAAACCCCAAUACACCCAAACUCUCAAAUUACUAUAACAAGAGCUUAUAAUUUCAAGCUCUCUAAACUUUCUCUCAAAAAUGCUAAAUUGUUCUCUCUUAAUGGAAUACUACAGCUCUUCAUUUGCACUUCUAUUUAUAGCAAAAUGAUGGCCAAGAAACUCAAAACCGUGUUCCUCUUUUUCAAAACUGUGUUCCUCCUUUUCUUCUUCAAACUGCUUCUUUCCAUUUUCCUUUUCAAGCAUUUCGGCCGGCCCAUUUUUUUCUUCUUUCUUUCUUCUUUUUAUUCUUUCUCUUUUGUUUCUUUCUUUGGGCGGCACCUCCCAACCAAGACAACCAAGACUUUAACAUUCUCCCACUUGGAGAUUUGAUUGAGAAUCAAUCAAUCUCCACACCAUCCUUUCUGCUUCGCCAUAAUCAUGUUGCCUACGUUUCUGCUAGGCCACAAGAGGAUCUACUCCAGAUAAACUUGUCAACAUUUAUCGGCUUGGUCAAAACAUUUGCUAGGUUCUCCUUCGUAUAGAUUUUCUGUAAAUCCACAUUUCCGUCUUCUACUACUUCUCGAACGAAGUGAUACUGAACUCCUAUGUGCUUUGUCCUGGAAUGAAAAGCUGGAUUCCUUGCAAUGUGCAAGGCACUCUGACUGUCACAAAACACAGAAAUUUUCUCUUGUUUGUGCCUGAGCUCCUCCAAUAACCUUUGUAUCCAAAUAGCUUCCUUGCAAGCUUGUGUAGCUGCCAUGUACUCUGCUUCUGUUGUAGAUAAAGCCAUAAAGGUCUGCAGUUUUGAAACCCAGCUUACAGCUGCUCCUGCAAGUGCAAACACAUAACCAGUAGUGGAUUUCCUUUUAUCAAGGUCUCCUGCAAAAUCUGAAUCCACAUAGCCCUUGACAGUAAACUCUGAUCCUUCAUAACAUAAUGCAACAUCUGAGGUUCAUUUGAUGUAUCUCAGAAUUCUCUUCACAGCUAUCCAAUGCUCUCCACCAGGAUUCGCCAUGUAUCGACUGAUUGCUCCCACUGCUUGUGCAAUGUCUGGUCUAGUACAUAUCAUAGCGAACAUCAAACUUCCCACUUCUGAUCCAUACGGUACUCGAGACAUCUCCUUCCUCUCUGCUUCAUUGCUAGGACACAUACUUGAGGAUAGUUUGAAAUUAACAGGAAGUGAGGUAGAAAUUGACUUCCAAUCUUGCAUGUUGAAGUGCCGCAAGAUUUUCUUCUGUGAAAGCCAAAUCUUCCUGUUAUUUCUGUCUCGAUGAAUUUGCAUCCCUAGAAUCUUGUUUGCUGGUCCCAAGUCCUUCAUUUCAAACUCCCUAGCCAACUGUGCCUUCAAUUCUUAGACUCGAUCUUUGUUGGAGCCUGCUACCAACAUGUCAUCCACACACAACAGCAAAAUAAUGAAAUCAUUAUCUUCAAACCUCUUGUAAUAUGCACAAUGGUAUGAAUUGAGUCUGUUGUAUCCAAGGCUCAUGAUGAAGGAAUCAAAUCUCUUAUACCAACAUCUCGGCGCCUAUUUGAGACCGUAUAGAGAUUUGUUCAACCUGCAAGCCAAGUUCUCCUUUCCUCUUUUUGCAAAACCUUCUGGUUGGAGCAUAUAUAUUUCUUCUUCAAGUUCUCCAUGAAGAAAUGCAGUUUUCACAUCUAACUGCUCAAGAUGUAAGUCAAAUGUAGCACACAUCGCCAAGACUACUUUGACUGUUGUAAGUCGAACCACCGAAGAAAAUAUCGCGUUGAAGUCAAUACCUUCUUUUUGAGCAUAUCCUUUCACUACCAUUCUUGCACGAUACCGCUCCACUUGGUCAUUGCCAUCAUGUUUGAUCUUGUAGACCCAUUUGUUUCCAAUGACUUUUCUUCCUUGUGGUAGUGGUACAAGUUCCCAUGUCUUGUUCUUGUGUAAAGCUUCAAUUUCUUCCUGCAUUGCUGUCAUCCACAAAGCAACAUCUGAGCUUUCUAAAGCUUCAUGGAAAGUUGAUGGCUCUCCAUCCUCUGUUAGAAGAUAGUACGCAACAUUGAUCUCUGUGACAUACUCCGAGUGCCACACUGGCGGUUGUCUCUCACGAGUUGACUGACGAACUUCUGGAGCCUCGGACUCGUCUGAUUCUUGUUCCUCGUGCUCUGGUGCUGCUUCAGAAGAAUCUGAAUCUUCUGGAUUAUUUUCGACAUAUACCGGCACAGUCUCUGACUUUUCUUUUGCAGUGCCAUCAUCCUCAUCUCUCCUUUGCAGUUGAUCUUCUACAAAGAUAACAUCUCUACUGAUGACGAUCUUGUGGGCAGUGGGGUCCCACAGACGAUACCCCUUUACUCCAUCAGCAUACCCCAAGAAGAUACAUUUUCUAGAUUUUGCAUCCAGCUUUGUUCUUUCUUGGGCAUUGUACAUCACGUACACAGGACAUCCAAAUGCAUGUAGGUAGGAAUAAUCAGCUGGCUUUCCAGUCCACAUCUCCAUCGCUGUCUUCAGCCCAAUAGCUGUAGAUGGCGAUCGAUUUACUAUAUAAAAGGCAGUUUUGGCUGCUUCUGCCCAGAAUGAAUUGGGUAGACCAGCAGUCCUCAACAUAACUCUUAUUCUUUUUGUAAGAGUUCUGUUCAUCCGAUCUGCCACUCCAUUUUGUUGAGGAGUGUAUGCCACCGUGAACUGCCUCUGAAUACUUUCUUACUUACAGAAAGCAAGAAACUCGCCGUCUGUAUAUUCUCCACCAUUAUCUGUCCUCAAGCACUUGAUCUUUUUACCAGAUUUAAGUUCCACCUGUGCUUUGUAUUCUUUAAACACUAGAAAUACAUUUGACUUUUUCUUAAUUGGAUACACCCAACAUCUUCUGGAAUAAUCAUCAAUGAAAGUCACCAUGUACUUUGCACCUCCCAUUGAUAUAUCCGGUGAUUCCCAAAUAUCAGAAUGAAUCAAGUCUAAAAUGCAUUUACUUCUAACAACAGAUCUACUGAAUUUUAAUAUAUGCUGCUUACUUGUAACACAAUGCUCGCAAAAUGGUAAACUUACCGAUUUGAGCCCCGGAAGCAAUUUUCGCUCAGAGAGAAUCUUCAAAGCUUGUUCUGACAUGUGGCCAAGUUUGAGAUGCCACAUCAUCGUUGAUUCUUCUCCAUUUGACGCGAUACACGCAUCAGCCUCCUGUAGUGUUUCUCCUUUAAGCAUGAAUAAAUUAGCACCGAUCUUUUCUGCCUUCAUCAAUACAAGCGCGCCUUUAACAAUCUUCAUAAUUCUAUUCUUCACAUGAGUUUUGCACCCAUGACUGUCUAUUUGUCCCAAAGACAAUAGAUUUUUCUUCAGGCCGUUGACAUGUCGUACCUCUCCAAUUGUGCGAAUUGUAAUAUCAAAUAUUUUUAUUUUGAUAGUACCAAUACCAGAGAUCUCCAAGGCAUGAUCAUCUCCCAUAUAUACAGAUCCUCUUGAGAUAGGUUCAUAUGUGUGGAACCAUUCUCUCCGAGAGGUCAUGUGCCAGGUAACUCCUGAGUCUAUAAGCCAGACAUCAGAUAGUCAUUUUCUGCCUUCUGAAAUAGUUAUUGCCUCGCUGUAGAGAAUUUCGCCAUCAUCCGAGGUACUUGCUACACACCCUUGAGCAUUUGAUGACUCAAGUUCUUUGCCCUCUUUUCUCUUCUGGUUACUCUAACACUCUUUCUUGACGUGUCAUUUCUUGCCACAGUUGUAGCAUUUAACAUUCUUCUUAUUUCUGGAUUUUGAUCUACCAUGAUUUUGACUCCCACUGGGGUCACGUUCCGUUGAUCUCCCUCUCGUCACCGAUAGUGCCUCCACUUGCUGCUAACUUGCUUGUUUGUUUCCUUAUUUUUCUGCUUGCUCUCCUCAUUUAAUACGGAGGCUGCAACAUCGUCGAAAACUAGACUAUCCGCUGGAUUAUUGUUCGUCAGGUUGAUGAUGAGUUGAUCAUACGAAUCUGGUAGACUUUGAAGUAGAAGCUCUGCACGUUCAUUUUCUUCUAUAUUAUGACCCAACGUUGUGAGUUGUGAAAAUAGAGCCUUCAAGGUGUUAAUGUGGUUACUCACCAUUGUAGAUUUCGUCAUUCGAAGAGUAUAGAGUUUCUUCUUCAAGAAGAUUUUGUUGUGUAGUGACUUGGCCUCGUACAAUUUUGUGAAAGUGUCCCAUAUUUCUUUCGCUGUAUUUUUCUCUGCCACACUGGAUAAUACUCUGUCUGCAAGUGCCAAGUGUAGAUCAGAAAUGGCGUUGCCAUCUACCUCGUUCCACUUGUCAUCAGUUAUCUCUAUGGGCGUUUCUCCAAUUGCUGCCAAGCAAUUAUUUUUCCUUAAUACAGCUUUCAUCUUCAUUUUCCACAACGAAAAAUUAUUUCCGUUAAAUUUCUCAAUUUCAUACUUUGUCGCCAUUUUGUUGAUAAAUACCGCACACAAGCUAGUGUACCACCUUGAAUAAUUGUGAGUAUGUGUGCGAAUGUACACCAGGAAAGACUGGAGGGGUCACAAUGGUCCCACUUAAACCCAGACUCCUUAAGCUCUUAUCGCCUUUGUGACAGAACUUUCCUAGACAUGUACAAAACCACACAAGUGCUUUACUCACACCACUAUUCCCUACUUUGCACCGCAAAAUUCUUGGAUUGCUCCCAUCGUUUCUUGUGAAUAGUUUCGUAUACGUGAACAGUACCGUAUACGUGAAUAGUACCAUAUACGUGAACAGUACCGUAUACGUAAAUAGUACCCCUUACGUGAACAGUACUCGACUCAAAAAAUACAACCAAUAGCUAUGAUACCACUAUUAGGAAAUUGGUGGGUGAAGCAGGACCGCAGUUAAAAUAAAAUUGGAAGAAAAAUAAAGAACAAGCACAAAAGAGAAUACCAGAAAUUGCGUGGUUCGGUUUUUAACCUACGUCUACGGGCGAAGACAGAAGGAAAUAUUUUACUAGUAAAAAAGAGUUACAAGUAUUGUAGUAUUUUAUCUCACUUCCCAAAACCCCAAUACACCCAAACUCUCAAAUUACUAUAACAAGAGCUUAUAAUUUCAAGCUCUCUAAACUCUCUCUCAAAAAUGCUAAAUUUCUCUCUCUUAAUGGAAUACUACAGCUCUUCAUUUGCACUUCUAUUUAUAGCAAAAUGAUGGCCAAGAAAGUCAAAACCGUGUUCCUCUUUUUCAAAACCGUGUUCCUCCUUUUCUUCUUCAAACUGCUUCUUUCCAUUUUCCUUUUCAAGCAUUUCUGCCGGCCCAUUUUUUUCUUCUUUCUUUCUUCUUUUUCUUCUUUCUCUUUUGUUUCUUUCUUUGGGCGGCACCUCCCAACCAAGACAACCAAGACUUUAACACAGAUUUAACUAGUGGAGAAGUUGGGAACUUUUUUUUUUUUUUUCUAACACAUGCUAAAAAUAUUUCAAUAAAUUAUGAUCAUGCAGACUAAUAAGAUUUUUUUAGUUAUAUAUAUUAAUUUUUUAGGGACUAAUAUGAAUAUUACUAAUUUUUUUGAGAUUAUUAAAAAACAAUGUUUUGACUUACCAAUAUGAUUUUUCCAAUCUUUUUUCUUUUCGUUAUUUAUUCCUUUGUGAAUUAGAGUUAAUGCUUGAUAUUAUUUUUGUGCUCAUUUUUAAAAUUAGUAAUUAAAUUUGAAUCUUAUAGUAGAAGUUUAUGAAAAAGUAAAAAUUCAAAAAUCAUAAAGUCAUUACUAGAUCCAAAUUUGUGCUAUUUUCAUACAUAACUUGACAAUAUUUAUAAUGAUGCAUCACAACUAGUGGAGUAGAAUCGGGGAAAUUAAACAUUCUACAAUCAUUGACGUGUGGGGUGGGGAUAAGCAUAAACUUUUUCUAUGCUGCAUAAAAGAAUGCAAUAACUCCUUUUCUUUCAGUAUUUUCGCAACAAAAGCACAUCUAAUAACUCUUUAGAAUUCUCGUUUUCUUUGCCACAAUGGUUGAAGCGAUCGUUUCCUCUCUCCUGGAGCAGCUGAUCUCUGUUGCGGCUGAUGAAGUGAAACAGCAGGUAAGGCUUAUGACUGGUGUCCGAGAAGAAGUGAAAAAGCUUACCACCAAUCUUCAGGCCAUUCGAGCUGUGCUGGAGGAUGCAGAGCAAAGGCAAAUGCAGCAAGACAAAGCUGUUACUUUUUGGCUGGAUCAGCUUAAAGACGCAUCUUACGACAUGGAAGAUGUGCUGGAGGAGUGGACCACUGCAAGGCUCAAAUUGCAACUUGAGGGCGUUGAUGAUGACAAUGCUCUUGCUCUUGCUCCUCACAAGAAGAAGGUACGUUCCUUCUUUCGUGCUGUAUCAAACUGCUUUGGUAGUUUCAAACAACUCAGUCUUCGUCAUAACAUUGCUGUCAAGAUUAGGGAAAUCAAUGAAAGGCUAGAUGAUAUUGCAUCUCAAAAAGAUAGGUUUAAAUUUUUUGAGAAAGUGAGUAACCAUGUUAAGAAACCAGAGCGAGUGCGAACCACCUCCUUGGUUGAUGAGGGAGAGGUUUGCGAUAGAGUUGAUGAGAAAAAUGAGCUCUUAAACAAGUUGUUGUGUGAAAGUAGUGAACAACAAAAAGGCCUCCAUGUCAUCUCACUAGUUGUCUUAGGGGGUAUAGGUAAAACCACUCUUGCACAACUAGCCUAUAAUAAUGAUGAGGUGAAAAGAAAUUUUGAAAAAGUUAUAUGGGUGUGUGUAUCAGACACUUUUGAGGAGAUUAGGGUUGCCAAAGCAAUCAUUGAAGGUUUAGGCGAGUCAGCUUCUAGUUUAAGCGAAUUCCAAUCUCUUAUGAGCCAUAUCCAUAGAUCAAUUGAAGGAAAAACGUUUUUUCUGGUUUUAGAUGAUGUAUGGGAUGGGAAUUACAACAAAUGGGAACCAUUCUUCCUUUGUCUAAAGAAUGGUCACCACAGAAGUAAAAUUUUGGUUACCACACGUAAUGAGUCAGUUGCACGUAUGAUGGGAUUUUCUAGUGGUUCUUUUGAUGAUCGUGAAAAAUUAAAACCAAUCAGGCGAAAAAUUACACACAAGUGCAAAGGUCUGCCUCUUGCUGCAAAGGUAAUAGGGAAUCUCUUGCGCUCUAAAAGUACAAUAAAAGAGUGACAAAGAAUUUUAGAUAGUAAAAUGUGGAAAGUAGAAGAGAUUGGGCAAGGUCUUUUGACUCCUUUGUUGUUGAGUUAUAACUAUUUGCCCUCCAAUUCUAUGGUAAAACGAUGUUUCUCAUAUUGUGUUGUCUUUCCAAAAGACUACAAUAUGGAUAAAGAGGAGUUGAUUAAUCUAUGGAUGGCUCAAGGUUACCUUAAUGCAGAUGAAGACGAAGAAAUGGAGAUGAUUGGAGAAGAGUAUUUCAACAUUUUAGUAGCACGCUCUUUCUUUCAAGAGUUUAAGAAAGAUAAUGAUGAUAAUAUUAUGAGUUGCAAGGUGCAUGACAUAGUACAUGAUUUUGCGCAAUUUGUAAGUAGAAAAGAAUGUUUGUGGCUAGAAAUUAGUGGUACCAAAGAAUUAGUCAUAAACGCUUUUGGCGAUAAAGUCUGUCACUUAGGGUUAAAUUUUGAAGGAGGAGCUUCAUUUCCUAUGUCCAUUCGUGGACUUGAUAGAUUGCAUACCCUCUUAAUUUAUGACAGAAGUCUUCCCAAUCGGGGUCUUAAUAGUAGCAUCCUUCUGGAGUUAUUUAGUAAAUUGGCGUGUUUAAGAGCAUUAGUUAUAAGCCAAUCGAUCUUAACAUUUUUUCAUCCUGACGAAAAUUGGAUUAGAGAAAUUCCAGAAAAUGUUGGAAAAUUGAUACAUUUAAAAUAUCUUAAUUUGUCUUAUCUAGUUAUAGAGAGACUGCCUGAGACUUUGUGUGAAUUAUAUAAUUUACAAAAGCUAGAUAUUAGGUGGUGCCCAAAUCUUACAGAAUUGCCAGCGGGGAUUGGGAAGUUAAAGAACAUGAGGAGUUUACUAAAUGCUGAAACUCCGUUAGACCACUUGCCAAGAGGGAUUUCCAAAUUAACCAGUCUGCGAACAUGAGACAGGUUUGUGGUGGGUGGAGGUGUUGAUGGUAGCAAUACGUGUAGGCUUGAAUCUCUGACAAAUCUUCAACUCCUUCAAGAAUGUGGAAUAGAAGGGCUGAGUAAUGUGUCACAUUUAGAUGAGACUGAGAGAUUAGAACUCCACAAUAAGAAAAACCUCCUUCGUUUGCGUCUUGAGUUUGGUGAAGUCGUAGAUGGGGAAGGCGAAGAAGGGAGGAGGAAGAAUGAGAAAGAUAAACAACUUCUUGAAGUCUUACAACCGCCUUUGAAUGUAGAGGAAUUAGAGAUUGAAUCCUACCGAGGCAACAUUUUUCCCAAAUGGUUGACUUCACUAACCAAUCUAAGGAAUUUAAAUCUUCUCCUUUGCGUUAAAUGUGAGCAUUUGCCUCCUUUGGGAAAAUUGCUUCUGGAAAAACUCGAAAUACGCAACUUGGAAAGUGUAAAAAGAGUGGGUAAUGAGUUUUUGGGAAUAGAAGAAAGCAGUGAGGACGACCCAUCUUCAUCUUCAUCUUCAUCAUCAACAUCAGUUAUUGCCUUCCCCAAAUUGAAAUCACUCGAAAUUUGGGACAUGGAAGAAUUGGAAGAGUGGAAUUAUAGGAUUACGAGGAAGGAAAACAUCUCCAUCAUGCCACGUCUUUCUUCCUUGACGAUUUGGUAUUGCACCAAAUUAAAGGCGCUGCCGGAUUACCUUUUUCAAACGACGGCACUGCAGAAAUUGAGUAUUUUUUCUUGUGAUCUUCUAGAAGAACUGCCAAUUCUAGAAGAUCGCAGGACAACAGACAUACCACGUCUUUCUUCCUUGCGAAUUGGGUAUUGCCCCAAAUUAAAGAGAGGGGAAAGGAGAAAACUGGCAUAAGAUAUCUCACAUUCCCCACAUCAUGCUGUCGGCGUAAGAUAUCACUCGCCGGUAAUAAAAAUAAUUAUAUUUUGAAUUAAAAUUCUAUAUAUUGCCAAUGUCUGACAGGAAUAUAUAAUAUUUUUCUAAUAUUUUGAUUUGCAUAUUGAAUUUUGUUUACUUCAACCAUUAAUUUAAUGGGUCACUCUGAUGUUGUUAUAAAAAUUAUAAAAUCAAUCAUGGUAUAUAUAUAUAUACUGUUAGAGUUAAUCAAUAAUUCAUAAAGUCAAAAGUUAAUUAAGAUAAUAUUUUAAUUUCAGUUAUUUAAAAUUUAAACUUCCUAGCUAUCAAAUCUGUUAAACUUAUUUUAUCAAGGUUAAAUAAAAUAUAUAUAUAUAUAUAUAUAUAUAUAUAGUCUAUUGAAAUUUCUAUAUUUUCUUCUAAAAAAUAUGUAGUCUUUUAUAAAAUUUCAUACAACAUCAUAGAAAAUUCCAAUGUAAUUUAUUUUUUAAUGUACGAAUAUUUGUUAUGUGUAACUUCUUGAGAGACAAAAUCUUUGCGAUACAUUUGCAGUAAUGUUGAUAAUCGUAUUUUUUUAUAUAUAAUUUAUGUGACAUUAAUUCUUUAAAGUAAUUGUGUGAUUGUUUUUAGUAGUACAUUAGCCCACUUUGUUUUAUUUCAUACGAGUUUAAUUAUGUUCACCAGGGAUUCUAGGAAAUGUCAGAACUACACUAGCAAUUCGCAGGUCCACGCUAAUUUGGUUCUAAUGAUGCACGCAGGAGAGCAAGAUUAUGAAAAUGAAUAGUUUAGCCAAAGGAUUGCUAAAAUGUUUUGCUGGUAAUUCACUUGCUUUUUUUUAUAGAAUUUCAUUUCCAUCUUCUUCUAUUGAUAUCUUGUUGUGAAUAAACAAGAACAGAAAAGUAACUAUAUAUAUAAAAAUUCCCUAUUAUGAUGAUGUUAAAGCAAGCUCAAGCUCAAACAUUGCAUUUUUAUUUUAUUUAAUUUAUAGAAUUUUCAUUUCUACCUGGAUUGCAUUUUUAUUUCAUUUUCAGGUUGACUUUGAAAACUCUAUGGAGCACAUUGGGGUAACCAAGGAUUAUCACUGUGGUUAUUGUGCAACGUUUGGUUGCUGGACUUUGAAGAAGGAAGUGAUGGCCGGGUCCGCUCUGUUUCAAUUGAGGAUGGAUAGCUGCCUGAAAGACAUGAUGAUUAUUAUUGCAUGAUGUUAAGGUGCUAAGAUCAUCAUUUCUAUCUUGUUUCAUUCUUUGAUCAGUUUAUCCUAUAUAAACAUAUGGAAUUAUGCAAAUAUUAUCAAUUUUUUCACCUAAUUUUCACUGUUGUUGCGAAAACAAUUUCAGGCUCUCAAAAGCUACAAAGCAAAGCAUUUGUGGGCUGAUCAUAUGUUUCAAUUGAGGAAGGAGCUUGGUGUUGGCAAUAUUGUCCAGGUAACCACAGCUGAUAAUUUCCACAAAUUUGCAUUGUCAGAAUACACUUUAAUGUUCAUUGGGUUCCUAUGUGUUAUCAGGUUAUCGUGGUAUGUAAAGUAUCAUCUUUAAGGAUUCGUAAGAGACUUCGCAGUAAACUUAGUUGUCACUAUCUCCUGCAAUUGCUCAUUCAUUCAAGAGUACUUCAAAAUUAGAUUUUCAAGGUUUGUAUGUUUAGUUGCGAUCAAAAUGUUUAGUCACUCAUUCGUAAUCUUUUCUGAUUUUCAAGUUCUUUAGGGCCAUAAACAGUUUUCCAACUCAUUCUUAAUUUUUAGGUUGAUUUCGAGUACCCUGUUGAGGACAUUCCUGACACCAAGGAUUAGGCUGGCGAAGGAACUACUACCUCUGUUGUCAUUGUGCAAGGUUUGAUCAUUCGACCUUGAAUAAGAAUGCCUUACACGCAUUCUGUAAUUCAAGCAUUCUCUAAAGGAAAAGAGCAGUAGAAGGGAUAGUGAUGGCCGGAUCUGCUCUAUUUUAGUUGAAGAUCUCUGUGAUGUCGAUGAACUUAAAGCAGUUGAUACUUCUUCAAAAUUGUUAUUACGGAUGAAUUGAUUCCUGGAGACGGGUAUCCAAAGGCGUAUUUUCAUAAACUUCCUUCUUUAACAAAUGUUCCAACGCUUGCUGUAGUAACAAUUUCAUAGCUUGCAUCUCUCGGGUGCGUCAUGUUCACGGGUUGGAAAAAGCAUUUGUCGUAAAGCUUCAAAGCUUGUAAAAUGGCUGUGAAAAGGCACAUUCAAUUCGGUAUGCUUUGGUGCGGUCUCCUAAUGCUAAUAUUAUAUUUUGUAUAGCAAUCUUAGUAUGCAAAAAAUCAUUGUGUCCAAAGUUUUCUAUUAAUUAUAUGGUGACUGAAAUUUUAAUUAUCAUAUAAAUCUUAAAAAUUUUUGUAACCCUAUUUUACUUUGCUUGUACAGAAUACCUGUUUUCGCUGAUAUGUCGAAUUCCUAGAAAUUCAUUUCCAUCGGUUUCCAUUGGUUUUAGCACAAACAGAAACAUAGAGCCCUGGGAAAAAGUUUUACUUUUGGUGGUAUUAUGCCUUAUUUUCUUCAUUCAUCAUAUUUGUUUCGAAUUCAUGCUCUCAUUCAGAGAGUAAAGCCUUUUCCAGGCUGCUUUGUAGCCAAAUUUUGAUGCCAUCGAUGCGUGAUUGUCAUUUAGAUCUUCGAAAUAAUUGUUAGAUUGGAGACGAAUCAGAAGAUAUUGUUCAAAGGGUAUUUAAUUAGCACCCUCUGAAUUUAGUUGGCAAUAAUGCAUUGAAAUGGUUGGGGAAAGUUAUUGUCUUAAUUAAAUUACAGGUGAUAAGAUGCUGCUUCAAUUUUGCAAGCAUCUUAUACUGCGAAGAUUCUGCCCACAUGAGAUGCUGUGAUUCUUGACGUCAGGAUAACACAGGUCAAAUUUUAGUAUCAAUAUAUAUCAUCUUCUUUACUGUUCUGCCUCUAAAUAUUAAACUUUAAGCAAGUUGUCUGUGAAUGUUUUCCUUCAAUAUUAAUACACUGGCAUUUCUUAGUAAAUUCUCUUCACGUCACUUCCUCCUUGUUGGUGGGAUUAGUAAACAAAUGUCAUUUCUUAGUACAUUUUGAGAAUUUUGACUCCCAAAUAAGCCUGCAGAGCGGUGUAUGGUGGGAUUAGCUGCGGGAUUCUUUGCCAAACUUCCUUUUUAUUCCUUUGUUCACUUAUUCGUUAUAAAUAAAGUAAAAUUAGAAUAUUGUUCCGUUUACUGUCUAAGCUGGUCUAACAUUUGUUUAAUUUGGGCAAUUUUUAAUGCCUAACAGGUUAUCUGUGACAAACCCAUCGGUGAGUGUAUGCAACUAUUGCGUGGAUUUGAUAGAGUGGUCACCAACAAUUUUGAAGUUAUUGGAGUAGCACGGCUUUGAGGUCUCCCCCUCCCUCUUUUACGUAUUUGUCUAUUGAUCGACAUGUCUAUAUAUACAUUGAUAGACCAACUUACUCUUGUUUUAAUGUUUUGUUUGUUAAACUUUGACUGGGGAAAGUUUAUUUGUCUCAUAUGAUGUCAAUGUGGUUCCUAUUGAAGUGUAUAGAUCUGUCACCUCAAAGUCUGAUUUCAAUUAAUUUUCCUUUACUUCAUCAACUAGCAUCCUUUCCAAGUCCAGAUACUUACCAAUAGUGAGACUUUGCUACGGAAGUACAAUUUCUCUUGUUUUACAGUUAAUUAUGUAAGAAAAGUUUUAAAUUUACAGAAUUCUGAUAUAGCUCUCUUAAGGAAAUGCGAGUGGUGAAUAUGGUUCCAACUUUUAAUAGGCUUAAUAGGCCCAUUUGUUGAGCCACAGUGAUUGCGGUCUAAAUUCUUCUUUACUGUCUAUAUGUGUUGGAGUUUGUCUAUUGUCCAACUUCUCAAAUCGAUUCCAUGCAGGGUUUUGAAUGUCUAAUUAGGAGAAAGAUUAACGGAUGACCUUUUGAAGAAGGCUUACACAACAGGCCAUCUCAGGAUGUCAUGGCUCAGCUCAAAAGUCCCCAGGUGGUUGAUAUCAAAGAAUGCCAUUGUUUCUGGGCUUGGUCUCCUUGGCAUCAAACAAGAUAAUGUUGACUCUAUUAAAGGGGAAAUAAGGGCAACUAAAGCGCGAAGAAAGAGGAUAGUCCGGAGGAAGGUGACUGCAUAAAUUUGUUGGAGUUAAUGUAGUCAAUUGCCCAAUUUUGCUGCCUGUCGAAGAGACACAUCAUGGAAGUCCUCAUCAAACUCUGAGACACCUAAGAAAUAGUAGGAGGUGGUGGUACUCGCCUGGGGUUAAUUUCCUGGCAAGUAUAGUUCACUGAUAGAGGGAAUCUUCUCUUGAUGUGUAAAUACCGUAUGUGAUACAAUGUCGUGUAUAUUCUAAUUUUCCUUGAGUUAAAUUCUAGUCAGUUAGGAAAGUUAAUUUUGUUUUCGCUAUGGAUUGUUUCCUAGAUAAAAAUAGUUUCCAUGUUCCUUUGGGGUCUUAUUAACUCUCUGUAACCCAGUUCAAGUUUGCAAAUUCUAUUUCAGAUUUCUCAUAUAGUGUGCCUUUGUCACUUCUGUGAUACACUUUUGAUCACAAGUUUCCAUUUGAAGUAGCCAAUAUUCUUUAUAGACUAAUUAUCUAAGGAUUAUUUUAUCCAAAAAAUCAAAACUUUAAUUAAUUGAUCAUAACUUAACUUAGCUCUUGUUUGAUAUUACUAGCUGUUGUGAGAAAAAAAAAAUAACAGAAAGUUGACAAUGUGCAGUAAAUGUAUGACUUUUAAAUAAUAAUUUAAUAAAAUUAAUAAAGAUAUUAUAAGUUUUUUAAUAAUAAAGUAUGAGAUCAAAUCAAAUUAAAUUUUAAGUCAAAAUAGCAAAUAUUUACUUAAAUUGUUUAAUUAUGUAGCUUAAAAGGUAUAGUUGUCCAACCUCAACACAAUAUCGAGAUUUACCGAACUCUACCCGACUUUAGUUGUACUGACUCGAUCAUGCAAGUCCACACUCGACGCGUUGACCAUACAAGAUGUUACUCAACUUUAACAAAUCUUACUCAAACUUUGCACGUUCGACAUGCCGGAUGGAAAAUGACAGUAUAUGAUAGUAAUAGAAUAUUAUAAGAAUAGUUAUAACAUGAUUAUACUUAGUACUAGUUUAUAUUUUAUGUGAUGUAUGUAGUAUAUGAAUGGAUUAUAUUACAAAUUUUAUUGUUAUAAUAAUUAAAAUUUUGAAUUAUUUUAUUAUUGAAAAAAUGUAAUAUGUUAAAUAAUAAUAACAGUUAUUUUUAUUAAGUAUUUUUUUAUGUAAUGAAUUAUACUUUUAAAAUAAAAUAAAAAAUUCUUAUUACUGAACUGAUAAAAAAUUAAUUAUUUGAGUUAUCUCCUAAACUACUUAACUCACGACAUAAAGUCACUUAGUUUAAAACGAAGCGGUGAGUUUUACGUGGGAGCCACGUCCUUUCCACAUCAACCUCAACAUCCAAACAUGAAAUUGGACUAAAAAUAGUUCUUUCCAAUGUAUUUGCGUAACCUCCUCCCACUAAACGCAAAUAUGUAUUCUUGAGUGCAUAAUUACUAACAUAAUUUUCUCCCUUUGCCAUAUUGUCGACGUUGAGUGCAUGUAAUCUACAAGUUUGAUUGAGCAGAAGAUGACGUUGUCACAAAGGCCUGGACACCAUACCUCGAACCCAUCCCUUUUUUUGUUCGAAAGAAAAGAAUGAUAUGUUGGUAUGAAAUUAUGUUAAAAUGAAUAUAUCACCUUUUUUUUCUUUUUUUGCGUGAGUGAUGGCUUUGUUUACUGACAGUUGACAGACAACGAGUUAUCUUUUAAUUUUGAUUUUGAUUUAGAUUUAAUACAAAAUAUUAAUUUUUGUAGUUUCGGUAGAUGAAAUUUCGAAUCAAAUAUUAAUAUUGUUAAAGUACGCAACCCAAUAUUUGCUUAAAUUACAAAAAAGAUUAAUUGCUUUGCAUAAAAAAAAAAAGUGAUCACUUGAUUUAACUUCCUUUACUAAAUUUACGAUUUAAAAUUCAAAAUAAAAAAAAAGGAAAACAAAUUUUGGAGACACACUCGGAGUUUUAAAUUGAUAUGAAAAAAGAGUUUAUUAUUGAUUAUCUUUUUCCCAAAAUUUAAGCUAAGACAGCAAUAUGUCCAAAAUACACUCCACAUUAUCCUAAAACUUUAUGAACUCCCCCGUUCCUCUCAACAUCAUCUCUUCCAAAUCUUUCUCCCCCCAAAAAACCAGCCAUGGCUUCAUAUUUAGUUAUCUCAACACUCCAUUAUUGGCUUGUAAACAGUAGCGGCUCGACCUCUAGGCAACUUAGGCGGUUGCAUAGGACUCCACUUUAUAUGAAAGCCCUACGAGAUGAUUAUUUUGUAUAUAAAAGAGGAAAAUGAAUUUAAAAGUCAUUAUUAUUAAUUUAAUUUAUUAUUAUUUUGUAAUUAUCUUUUUUAAAAUAAACUAUCAAAUUCCUAUAAAGUUUAUUUAAUAUAGUACUUAAUUGUUUAAUUUCUACAAAACCAAUAAAUUAAUAGUUUCAAUCUUAAAAAUUCUCUAUUUCAUUGUUAGAAUUAAUAAGUUAUAUUUCAAAAGUUUUAUAUUUAUUUUAAACCUCUAUAAAAGCCCCACAUUUUAUUACUUAUCCAUUAAAUUUUUCCUCCAACAAUCAAGACAUCUUGGUGUUUGAGUGAAAGAGAGAGGGAAAAAAAUCUUGCUUCGUGCCUGUUUGGUAUGACAUAUUUAAGAGCCAUAAGUGCUUAUUUAAUUAUAUAAGCACUUUUUAAAAUUUUUUAUGGUGUUUGGUUAUUUUUUUAGUAGAGUUUUUUUAACUUAAAUAAGCUAAUUUACCUCUACUAGCAAAAGCUCAAAAUUUGAGCUUUUGGAAGUAGAGGUUAUAGAGCUUUUCUAAAAAUAUAUAAUAUAAAAAAUAUUACACAGUUUAAUGAUUCAAAAGUACUUUUUUUAUUGACAACCAAACACCGAAUGACUUUUUGUCCAAAAGCUCUAUUGGUAUAAGCUCUACUGCUAUAAGCUCUAUUGUUAUAAGCUCUAUUUAAUAAGAUGUACCAAACAGAGCCUUCCUCUACUUUCUACUCUAGAAGAAAAAGAAAAAAAUCUAAUAGUUUUCUCUAUUUUCUAUGACUAUUGGUCGUUACUCAAAUUUUAAAACAAUAGCCUUAAUAUAAACAUAAGUUAAUUUAUGAUUUCAUCUCAAAUUUCUGAUUUUAUAUUUUUAUUAUUCUCUUAAUUAGUUGUGUUGUUAUUUGUUCUUAUUUCUUUUUAAUAUAUUCUUUUAUUCAUCUACUUUUUUUUGUGAUUGUUUUAUCUAUUUUGAAAUAAAACUAUAUCAAAAAACUUUAGACAAUAGAAGAAUAGAAAAAUUAGUUUAAUUUAGAAAAAAAAGUAAAAAAGAUAUAAUUUAACUUAAAAAAAUAAGUGGAAAUGUUAUAAUUGAAUUAAAAUUUUAUGAAUUAACAACAAUAAAAUAAAUUUUUAUUUAAUAAUUUUACAUUUUAAAGUCUUUAAAGAAUUAAUUUUAAUAAAUAAUAUAUAUAUAUAUAUAUAUAUAAGUUACUUAUCUCUCCAUCCUCACUUACCUCUCCCUCACAUUCAUCCUCUACCACACAUCAACACCAACAUCAACAUCAACACCAACAUCAGCAUCACUACCAUCAUCACCUCUCAUUGGACCCCACAUCCUCAAGCCCAUCACAGCCGUCCAUAACCUCACCCUCCUCCUCCUCUCCCUCAUCAUGGCCGUUGGUUGCCCUCUCUCCAUCAUCCUCCACUUACCCCACCUCCGUUACACCCUCCGUUUCCUCCUUACCAUUUCUCCGUCUGGCAUGGCCUAAUUCCGACGGAAUCAACGACGGUCGUGAUGGGUUUUGGCUGCGAUUAUUCGCGCUUCAAACGGCGGCGUUUCGAUUGGUUUUUGGCGACAGUGACGGUGGGAAAGUGAUGGCUGGCUCAGGAGCUUUCGUUGCUACCAUCCAUGGACGGUGAGGUGGCGGAAAAUCGGAGAUAUGUCUGGGUCGGGUUUUCCGGGUCAGUUUGACAGCUUCCUCUAUCCCUCUCCCCCAUAAAACAUUACCCAGCUUCCUCUUAUUAUUAUUAUUAUUUUUCACAUACGUUACAGAACAUUAAUGAGAGAUGUUUAGUAAGGACUAUAUUGAUAUUUCGAUGAGUAGUAAAAAUUAAUGUUAAAAUUUUAUAGACGAGUGUAUAGUAAGAUGCUCAAAGUAUUAGAACAUACAUAAAUAAUCCCAGCUCUAAUAAAUUUUAUCCCUUCAGCAAAACAUAUCGAUAAAGUAUACAAAAGCACAAGGCAUGAGUACAUGUCAAUAACAAAUGAAAGUAAUUAAGAUAAAGAAUAUGCUUUAUUUCCUUUUAUUUUCGUUUUUUUUUUUGGUGUCUUUUGAAAGGAGACCAACUAGAUCAUGCAAGAAGUUAAUUUUUUUUUUAAAUAAAAAAGGGAGAAAUGAUGGUCUUACAAAGUUCCAAUAUAAAGUUUAUAAUAUAAAAUUAAUGAUGUGACAAUUAAACUAAUGGAGUAAGAAGUCCCAAAUAGAUUAUAUUUUGCUAAAGAAGUCAAUUCUACCAAGAAUACCUCUUUCUAUUGAAUUUAAAUGAUGAUUAUUUUUUUAUAUCAUAAAAGCUAAAAUAAUUGUGUGAGUAAUUUGAUUCUUUUACACUAUAAAAAUAAAUUCAGAAAAUGUUAGGGCAUGUUCUGUAUUUUAUUUUUAAAUUCAUAUUAUGAGAAUGAAAAUGGUGUUUUCAAGUUUAUAAAAUUUCAAUUGAAAUAUGUGUUUGUUAUUAUUUUAUUUAUCAUAUAUUUUCAAAAUGAUAAAAUAAUGGAUGUAUUAAGCAAUUUUACUACAUGCAAAUUAUUAUCUGUGUUUAAAGUUCAUAUAAAGCUUGUUUAUUUUUCAACAUACCAACUUCCAAUAAUAAUAAUAAAAUUUUUGUGAUAUCCAAUAUUAACUUUUUAAAUUAAUUAUUUUUUGUUAAUGUGUCCGCUGUUCAAUCGAUCUUCCUACUUUCUAUGCUUGAGAUUAGAUCAUUUGCUUCAAAGAUUCGAACUGGACUUAUAGUAGGAAAAAGAAUUUUCUUCAAUAUGAACUCUAAUUCUCUUUUUUUAUAUAUAUAUAUAUAUAAAAUCUAAUUCUCCUUUCAACAUUUUAACAUUUUGAUGAAAUAAAAAAUUAUUGGCGAAAGAUUACAUGCUUCCUUACAUUAGAGAACCAAACACUCAGAUAGGUAGUGUAAAUCUCUACUGAUCGUUGGUGAUUUUAUCAAAAUAAAAUUCAAUAAAAUGUAUAAGCACACUUAAAUCCGUCCAAAAAAACAUAAAUGACCCAGCAAAUAAAGAAAAGUACUGUGAAGUAAAAAUUGAAAAGUACAAUCCGUCGAUCAUUUGAUACGUAUUUUUCUUCACAGAACCUCAAUUCAAUAGACAAAAGCUCCUCUUAAUUUUUCUUUUCUAUUUAAAUAAAAGAACAAACGAAAUUGAUUACGGAGCCAUUAAUUUCCAAGAAUUAAUAAAUGAAAAGGCCCAUAAUUUUUGUUAACCCACCCCACUCUCAAGAAAUAAUUACAAUAAGUUCAAAUUAUUUUUUAAAAAUUGAAAUAAAGAAGAUGUAAUUACAAUAAGUUUGGAGAUUGAAUCAAAUAAAAUAAAAUACCUAAACUAUUAUAAACAAGAACUCUUGAUUCUUGGGGUAUUUUAGUCAUUUUAUAUUAUCAUGGUAAAUUAGUCAAAUAAAACUUAUCUUAAAGCAACCUAAAUGGUCAAAGACACCUAAGUUAAAAAAAAAAUUAUAUGAAUGAUUUAAUUUAUUGAUUGUCUAUACGUUUUAUUGAUAUAUAUAUUUUAAAAAUAGUAUGAACGUAUUACAAUUAUUUUCUGACAGCAAAGUAGAUUUGUAAAAUAAGUGGGUAGAAAAUAUCCCCGUCCUCAAACAAAUAAAUGAAUUAUCGGUGAUGCAUGCUUUUUUCCAACUUUUGUUUUUUUUUUCUUUUGGUUUUUUGUUUUUGUUUUAAAUGGCAUUGGCCCGACCACUACAAAUUAAUUAGAGAAUAUUUACAAUUAUGUAUCACAGCUGUGGAGUAGAAUCAGGGAAAUUAAAAAUGCCAAAAUUAUUGACGCGUGGGUUAGGCGACAAUAACCAUAAACAUUUUUCAUGUAGUGUAAGAAGAAUGCAACAACUCGUUUCUUUCGGUAUUUUUGCAACAAAAGUACGUUGAACAACUUCCCGGAGCAGCUGAACUCCUUUGCUGCUUGUGACUUACCAUAAAUCUUCAAGCCAUUCAAGCUGUGCUUGAAGAUGCAGAGAAGGCAAGUUGAUAUAAGAUGGUUGCAUGGAAUAAGCAGGGUAUCUUCCGAGGCUAGAAAUUGGGCUACGAGUAUUCGUUUUGGACAUAUAAUAUAGUUUCCAAGCUUGCGAUGAGUCGAACCAAAUGCAGAACAACCUAGGCUGUUAUGCCCUGCGAUUGAGCUAAAAAUUUCACUUCUUUUAUAGUCGUUUUUCAGUUUUAAGAUAUUUUUUUAUUUUUCUUGAUUCUUCUAGAAUUUUUAUCAUUUUUUCUAGAUGUUGGAUUUAAGUGCCAUCUAUUUUCUUUCUCUUAUUUAGAUUCGAAGAAUUUUAUUAUCAUAUAAUAUUUUGAAUUUGCUUAGUUUGUUAAAUUUGCUAUAUUUAGGCUCCUAUAAAUGGGAUUCAAAACCCUAAUUUUGUUCAUUCAAAUUAUUCUCAAUAAAACUUAUUAUUCAAAUACUAGUUUAUAUUAUCUAAUAGCUUUUUAGUGUUUCUGCAUCAUCAGCUGGUAUCAGAGCAAGUUCACUUGUCAUCAUGGUGCGACCACACAAUCAAAGGAGCAACCAUCCUGGAGACGAUGUUCAAAUAUUAGGUUAUCUCUUGUAAGCCAUAUUCAUAAAUGUAUUGAGGGAAAGAUACUUUUUUCUUGUCUUAAAUGAUGUGUGGGAUGGACGUUAUAAUUAAUGGGAACCAUUCUUCUGUUGUUUAAAGAAUGGUCUCUACGAUAGUCAAAUUUUGAUUACUGCACGUAAUCAGUUAGUAGCAAGCAUGAUGAGAUCAACAAAUCUUACCUUUCUUAAGGAAUUAAUUGAAGAAGAAUGUUGGUAAUUGUUUAAGCAGGUAGCAUUUUUUGGUCAAUUCUUCAAGGAUCAUGAUCAAUCGAUCAAAAAGUUGCAUGCAAGUGCAAAGGUUUGCCUUUUGUUGCAAAGAUAAUAGGGAAAUUCUUACACUAUAAAUGACCAAUAGAAGAAUAGAAAAGAAUUUUAGAUAGUGGAAUGUGGAAGGUAGAAGAGUUUGGGAAAGGUCUUUUGACUCCUUUGUUGUUAAGUUAUAAUGAUUUAUCGUCCAUAGUAAAACAAUAUUUCUCACAUUGGGCUAUCUUUUCAAAAGGUUACAAUAUGUGUAAAGAGGAACUAAUUACACUAUGGAUGGCUCAAAGUUACUUUAAAUGUAGAAGAAGGCAUUGUCUAAAGCAUGGUCUCCAUGAAAGUAAAAAUUUGGUUUCCACACGUAAUGAGUCAGUUGCAUGUAUGAUGGGAUCAAAAAAUAUUAUCUUCAUUGAGCAAUUGACUGAAGAGGAAUGUUGGUUGUUGUUCAAGCAGUUAGCAUUUUCCGGUCGCUCUUUGGAGGAUGGUGAAAAAUUAGAACCAAUCGGACGAAAAAUUGCACGCAAGUGCAAAGGCCUGCCUCUUGCUGCAAGGUAACAGGGAAUUUAUAGGGGAUGAUAAAUGCAUAUAUAGUGGCCAAGUCGCUCAUUACAUUUCAUCUCUCAUACGAAUAUGAUUUUGAAUUUGAAUUUCCAUGAAUAAUUGUCGGGCUGGUGCAGAUAUUCUUAAAAGGGCAUUAAGCUACCUCAUGAAAUUGGAAAGUUAUCAUUGCUUGAAUGAAAGCACCAUCUUCUGUUGUCAAGGCUUUCCCCACACGAUGAGAUUCUGUGCUUGUUAUCGGCCCCUUAAUUAUUUAUUAAAUCAGGUUUUUAUUAUCAAGUACAUCAUCUUAUUCACCAUUUUGGCUAUAUAUAAAGAUUAAAAUUUCUAACAGUUGUUUUGGAUUCUUGUGUAAUCAGAUAAUUGGGGCAAAUGUCAGAAUGAGGAUUGUUCAGUGCUACUGGUACGGCAAUGAUGGUGAUGGUGAGGAAGAUUGUUCGCAAGCCAAAUUGAGCCCUCCAUUUUGUGAAAUAACAUCCUCAAAUUUGAAUUGUUGAGCACAUGAAGUGAUGCUAAAGCCUUAAUAAUAGGACCUUCCAAUGAAAGUUUCAUUUGAGUGAAUUAUGGGAGAAUGAAACUUCUUGGAGUGAGUGAGAAAUUAAGCAUAUAUCAGCGAUUAGUGAAUGUUUUUCUUUAACAUUAGUACACUCUUAUUUCUUAGUAAAAUUCUCUUCACGUCGUUGACUGUGACGUAGACCAAAAGCUGAACAAUGUAAAAUUAUAUUGUUAUUUCCUUAUGCUUGUUUUGCUAUAUAUCAUUUCUGUGCAAUCAAGAAUGUAAUUUUGUAAUUAUUCAACUCUGCUUCCGCAAACAUGCGGUAUCUUGCAGAUUUUUUUCUCCCUUUUUCUUUCUGCGUUAAAACUGCAACAAAUGGAAGUGACUGGCUUGAUCUUAGCUCCUGUAAAAAAGUGCUUGGGACAAUGUCUUUUGUAUCAGCAAGUUAUCGAACAUCAUAAUUUAAAUAUAGAAUCCUGAGUUGCUAUCGAAAAUUCCAGGUGUUUCACUUCUCAGUUUCUUAAAAGCUACAAAUCUUGAUAUAUAUUGACAAAGCAAACCGUCCGUGGGCUGAAAUGCUUCCACGGAUCAGGAAGGAAUUUGGUGUUGACACUGUAUGUUAUGCGGAUAACUACAGUUGAUGAUUUUUACCCAAAAUUUGUCACAGUUGACAAUUCACUUACAGUGUUUCCUUGUGUUAUCAGGCUCUCAUCUGUGAAUUGAAAGAUUAAGAAAGAUUGAUUCUAACUGACUUAUGCAAUUGAAGAUUAUGAAAAAGCAUUUGCACUAAAGUUCCCAGCUUGUUUAAUUUCUGUGAAGAGGCACAUUCAUUCUGAGUACUUGAGUUUUAGAUUUCCAAGAUGUGUAAUUUUAGUUGCCAUUGAAAUAUUUAGUCGCUCAUUCUUAAAAAUCUGUUCUAAUUUUCCUGUUAUUUUGGGCCAUAAACAGCUUAACAAGUCUGCAUGUGGUUUCUAAAGAUUGAUGGUUAUGAUAAAUUGGAAGAUGCUCUAAAUAUAACAAAAGUAUAUUUCUACUUGUGGUCAAUUUACAUUUGUUUCUUGUGUCAUUAUGCAGAUUAAUUUAUUCGAAUUUAUCCUAUCUCAUUCAUUUAUUUUAGACAAAGUUUGAAAAAAAAAAAUUAUAAGUAUACAAUUUCCAAUGGAUUUGAUAGAGCGGUCAUCAACCAUAUUGAUGUUAUUGGAGUAGCACUGUUCUUAAGCACUGCUUUGAGGUCUCUCCCUCUCUAUAUACAUUGAUAGUCUAUUCUGGUCGUACCAAAUUAUCCUUGUUUUAAUGUUUUGUUUGUUAAACUUUGACUGGGGAAUCUGUUUAUUUGUCUGAUAAGAGGUUAGUGUGGUUUCUAUUGAAGUGUGUAGAUCUAUCACCAAGUAUUAUUUCAAUUUUUCUUUACUUAAUCAACUUGCAUCCUUUCCAAGUCCAGAUCCUUAACAAUAGUGAGACUUCGCUACAGAAGUACAAUUUCUCUAGUUUGACAGUUAAAUACGUAAGAAUGGUUUUAAAUUAACUGAACUCUGAGAUAGUUCUCUAAGGAAAUACAAGUAGUGAAUACCGUUCCAACUUUUAACUGCCUUAAUAUAUCCAUUUGUUCAGCCCUGUGCAUAAAAAAUCAGUAAUUGCCGUCCAAAUUCUUCUUUACUGCCUAUAUGUGUUGGACUUUGUCUAUUCUUCAACUUCUCAAAUGGAUUUUUUGAAUGUCCAAUUAGGAGAAAGAUCAAGGCUUGCUUGGCUACGAGUGGAAGCGGAUCCGCUACUUCAAUCAUAUGACCUUUUGAAGAAGGCUUACAACGGGGCGGCUCAGGAUGUCAAUGGCUCAACUCAAAAGUCCCCAAAGUGGUUGAUAUCAAAGAAUGCCAUUGUCUCUGGGCUUGGGCUCCUUGGCAUCAAACAAGGGAAUGUCGACUCUGUUGAAGGGGAAGCAAGGGCUCCUAAAGUGCGAAGAAAGAGGAUAGUCCGGAAGAAGGUGACCGCAUAAAUUUCUUGGGAGUUAAUCCUAGUCAAUAGCCCAAUUUUGCUGCCUGUCGAAGAGAUACAACACGGAAGUCGUCAUCAAACUCUUUUGAGACAUCUAAGAACUAGUAGGGAGGUGUUUCCAGGCAAGUAUAGUUCACUGAUAGAGGGAUUCUUUUCUUGAUGUCUAAAUACUAUAUGUGAUACAACGUCGUAUAUUCCAAUUUUUCUCCAGUUAAAUUCUAGUAAGUUAGAAAAGUUAAUUUUGUUCUAGCGAUGAAUUGUUUUGUUAGGCAGUGUUUACUUUCUGGAGUGAGAGUGAGGAGUGUGGAUUCCUCCCAUUCCAAUGUUUACUUCAACAAAAUAGGUAGGGAUUGGGAAUCCCACUCCGUGGGCCCCACCCAUUUUUGGAGUGGGGAGUGGGAGUGGGAGUCCACUCCCACCUCUCCCUUUUCUACCCUUUAUUUUUAAUUUAAUUUAAUAAAAUAAAAUAAUUUAUAAUUAUAUUUAUUUAGAUAAUAUUAUUAUAUUUAACUAAAUAAUAAUUUACAUUGAUUAUAAGUUAAAAUUACUUAAAAUAAUAAUAUUAUAUUAAUAGAUAAUUAAUAAAUAUAUGCUAUCUUUAUUUAAUAAUAUAAUAUUAUUAUAUUUAUUUUAAAAAUAAUAUUACUAUAUUUAUUUAAUAUUAAUAAUAAUAAAUAGUUCAUUCUAAGAAAAUAUUAAUUUUUUACUAAAUAAUAUUAUAUUAAUAAAUUUAAUAUAAUUAUAUAAAAUAAAAUAAUGUUUCAUUUUAUAUUUACCCUUCUUUUUAUUAAAUUUACUAUAACUAUAUUUAAUAAAUAUUUAAAUAAUAUUAUUAUAUUUAACUAAAUAAUAAUUGGGUUUGAUUCUAAGUUUAAUUUACUUAAAAUAAUAUUAUUAUAUUAAUAGAGAAUUAAUAAUAUUACUAUAUACAAUCUUUAUUUGAAAAUAUAAUAUUGUUAUAUUUAUUUAAAAUAAUAGUAUUGUAUUUAUUUAAUAUUAAUAAUUAAUACUAAUAAAUAGUUUAUUCUAAGAAAAUAUUAAUUUCAUACUAUGUUAAUAGUAAAAAUAUUUCAUUUAUAUUGCCCUUAUCAACAAUUUUUAAUUUAUAUAAUUAAAAUUAAAAAACUUGUGAUGUUCAUAAUUAAGAAUAUUAAUAAUUAUUAUAAAUUUACAAAUAUAAUAAAAUAAAUGUUUAUUCAUUAAAUAUAUUUUAUAUUAACUUUGUAAUUAAAAACUAUAAUUCUUUACAUAAGGAUAAAAUUGUAAUUUGAGACUAUUUACUCCCAAUCAAAGACAAAGUAAACACAUAAAUUGGAUUAUGAUCUCCAUUCCAGUGCAAGUAAACAACCUACUCCCACUCCCACUCCAUACUCCCAAUCCUAGGAUUCACACUCCUCAGGAUUCCCACUCCAAUCCAAAAAAUAAACGCUACCUUAAUAACAAUAAUUGCAUGUUGCUUUGGAAUCUUAUUCACUCUCUGCAACCCAGUUAAAUUGUGCAAAUUCUACUGUAGAUUUGUCAGAGUGUCUUUGUGAUUUCUUUGAUACAAUUUUGAUCGCAAAUUUCAGUUUGAAGAAUCAUGUAAUACCAAAAAACCAUAACAUGUAAUUACUUGAUCAUACUCGACUUCCUAUUUAGUACUACCGUGUUGUUAGGGAUGGCAAUGGGCACCGCCCGCAGCGGGUUUGCCAUUACCAAACCCAAACCCGCACAAAAUUUAAAUUACCAAACCCACCCGCAACCCGCAGCGGAUUUUAAUUUUUUUACAAAAACCCACCCGCAGCGGGUUUUAACAAUUACCAAACCCGCAAUGGUGUCUGGCGGAUUUUUUGUGGGUUUCCGUAUUUAAAAUCACAAAUGUUUAAUAUAUAAAUUUAUAAUAAUAACCUCAAAUUUCAUAUAACAUACUCAAUUUUAUAUUUAAACAAUGUAAAUGAAAAAUUAAAAUUUCCACAUCAAUUCAACACAAAUUCUCAAAUUUAAGUAUAAAUUACACAAAUCCAUUUUAAAAACUCAAACUAGUAUCUAAAAAUAAUAAUUACAUUUCAUAUUAUCAUUUAAAACAAGCUCCAAGAGAAGAUAUUCAUUUCAUUCACCACCAUAAGCACCCAUCCAACACAAUGCCUAUAAUAAUAAUUAAGAUUAAUAUUUUCAAAUACUAAUUCGAAGGAAAAUGCCUUUAGUUGUUUUUAGAUUAUGACUUUAGAAUAGGAGAUAGGCCACAUAUACACAUACACAACGUUGAGCCUUUGGCUAUUUGGUAAUUUGAUUAAUGACAUUAUUUUCUUUAUACAUUUUUAGAUUAAAAUUAAAUUAAAAAUAUUUGGAAAAAAUAUUGCGGGUUUUGUGGAUAUCCAUGCGGGUAUCCACCAGAUAUAAGGUUAAUACCAAACCCACCUGCAUCCAUGUGUGGGUUUUAAUUUAUAAUACUAAACCCGCCCGCAACGGGUAAAAUUACCCGCAAUGGGCGGGUUUUGGCGGGUGGGUUUGGGCGGGUUUGUGGGUUUGCGGGUACAAUUGCCAUCCCUACGUGUUGUAGUUAUAGUUAUUGUGAAAAAGGAACUGAAACUAUAAUAUAAAUGUUGAUCUUGUUUGUAUAUAUGAUUUUUAAAUAAUAAUUUUGGUAAAAUUAAUAAAUGUAUUAUUGAUUUUUUUAUACUCCCAACUUAAUUUUUAAGUCACAAUAAUAAAUAUUUAUUAAAUACUUUGAUACUAUAACUUUAAAACUAUGCUCCGCGGCACUCUUAUCUAAUUUUAAUUGUACUUUCUAGCUCGAUUAUAGAAAUCCUUACUCGAUGUACUUUACCAUACAAGAUGUUACUUUACUUAAUCUUACUCGACUUUAAUUGCAUAUUUUAUAACGAAUUUUUUUUAAAAAAAUUGGUCCCGAUUCCAGCAAAACAGUAACUUCCAUUCAAAAGGGUUCCACGUUGAGUGCAUGUAAUCUGCACAAGUUUGAGAAGAAAUAACCAAAAAAAAAAGAAACCCACGUCCAAAGAUGCCGUUGAAACAAAGGCCUAGACACUGUAUCCCAUCCCCUUUUACCAUAUUUUAUAAUUAAAGAGGCCGUCAUUGAAUUCAAAAAUUAUGAUCCAAAAUCCAAAAAUAGAAGAAGAAUUGGAAACAUACUCGGAGUUUUAAAUUGAUAUGAGAAAAGAAUUUAUCAUUUUUUUAACAAAAAUUUAAGCUAAGACGAAAAAAUAUGCCUAAAACACCCCUCACAUUAUCCCAAAAUUUCUAAACUCCGCCAUUCCUCUGACCAUCAUCUCUCCCAAAUCAAUCUUCCCCCAAAACCAGCCAUGGCUUCAAAUUCAAUCAGCUUAACACUCCAAUAUUGCUUGUAAGCCACCCACAAGUCCUCAACUUCACAUGGACUCAAGACCAAACCCUAGCUUCCUUCCGACACAUCCUCAUUCACUCCAUCAUUACUUACCUCUCCCUCACAUCCAUCCUCUACCACACAUCAACAUCAACAUCACCAUCAUCAUCACCUCUCAUUGGACCCCACAUCCUCAGACCCAUCACAGCCAUCCAUAACAUUUUUCAUUUUGAUGCUGAAUUAUCAUUUCACGGGAUUUGGUUUCCCUGGGUUUUGGGGUUGGUGCUUCAAUACUGUGUUUAAUGCUUCCCUUUUGGCCCUUUUUGUUAAUUUUCAUUACAAGAGCUUUGCUAAGAAAAGAAGCAGAGAUGAUCAAAACAACUAGUAGUUAUCCUUGUUUUGUGUUUUCUUUUUUAAUUUAUUUGAUUUUGGUUAAUUAUGAAUGGUGGUAAUGGGUUCAUUGCCAUUGACAGAGAUGUUUCCAGUUGCCUAAACUUUGUUUUUUUCAAUUUUGGUAGUACGUGUAAUUUGUCACCACAUUUGUUUAGUCUCUCCCUUUCAAAUUCCCUCUCACACAAAAAAAUUCGGAUUUGUAUUUUGUAAACUAACAUUUUUCAUUUUGUUAAUAAAUUAAUUAUUAUUAUCUACAUUUAUGUGAUAGGACACAUGCCACAUCAAUUAAUAUUAGAUCAUGAAUUUUUGCAACCCCAGCAAAAAAAAUUUAUGAAAGAUGUUUAGGUAAGGAUUAUUUUGGUCUUCUAAAGAGUAGAUUAAAAAUCAAUGUUCAAAGUAUUAGAACAUAAAUAAUCCCAGCUUUAAUAAAAUUUUGCCACAUAAUGAUUCUUAUCUCUCAAGAGAAACAUAUAAAUAAAAUGUACAAAGUUAGAAAUAUAGAAUGCAUUAGUACAUGUCAAUAACAAGACCAAUUAGAUCAUGGCAUUACUUAAUUUUAUUUUUAUUUUUUGCUUCUUUUGAAACAAGAUCAAUUAGUUAGAUCAUUGAAAAAGAAGCAGUCAUACAAAGUUUGAAUAUAAAAUUUAUAAUCUAAAAUUAAUGAUGUGACAAUUAACAUGUUAUUAACCUAGCUAAUAGAGUAGGAAGUCCCAAAUACACCAUCUUCUGCUACAGAAAUCAAUCCUACCUAGAAUACUUCUUUUUAUUGAAAUUUAUGAUGAUUUGUUUGUUUGCAUCAUGAAAGUUAAAAAUAAUUUUGUGAGUAAUUUGAUUCUUUACGGUACAAAAAAUAAAUUCGGAAAGUAUUAAUUUCUCUCAUACUUUUAGGGCUAAAAAAUAAAAGUAAGUCUAAUAUAUUUAUUAGUUAAUGAUUAUAUAUCAAUCAUCUCUCAUACUUUUCGAUCUGAUCCAAUCCAAUCUGAAUAUUCUAGCCUAAUCAACCCGAAACCCAAUCAAGUUGAUCUGAACACAAAUUUACCCACUCCUAGCGGGGAUCAUGACCCUACAAGCUUUGAAAAAUUUUGAGGUUUCGAAGUGAAAUAUUAAAAAUUAGGUAUAAAAAGACUGAUUUGGCCCCUAAGCAAUUAAUUUGAGAAUGUUACAUUUUCCAUUUCUCUUUUUGUCGUGACAUAAUAGACUAAAACGGAAUCACAUACUUCUUCAAAUGCCCAAAUGGCUUUGGCCUAAUAAAGUUAUAUAUUGACUGUGGACUAAAACAGAGCCACAACUUUUUCGAAUGACCAAAUGAAUUAAUGAGACAAUGGCGUUUGCCUACCUUGAUAACAAAAGUCGUCGGCCAUAAUCCAUAUAGACAAAAAAAUGGUCCAUACGUUAAGGUUAAAUUGAAAAAUAUAAUAAAUAAAUUUCAUUUGUGAUGAAAUUCGUAAUGGAUUUAUUACUUAGUUAUCUUUCACAUAUUUUCUCUAUAAUAUCAUAUAAGUUAUAGACCACAGCAUGAUAUUUAUUGCAAUUAAAAUCAUUGUGAAACUGAUUUUAUUCUUUUUUUUCUUCUCAAACAAAGUAUCUAGCUAAUUGCAGAUGUAAUAAAUUACUAAUUAACAUUAUUUUAUCUGAAAAAUAUAAUAAAUAAAUUGUCAGGAGAUGAUUUUAUCUGAAAUUUCACUUGCACGGUCCAGGCCACAUACAAAUUUGUGCUGAAAUUCAUAAUGGAUUAAUAUGAUUGGGCGAAAUUACUCUAUAUAUCAUUUCAUCAAUAUCUAUUAAACGAUAAAAAAUUUAUUGAUAUUUAUAAUAAAAAAAAUCUAUCCACUAAGUCUAUUCUAGAUCAACAAUUAAUAUAUUAUAUAUAACUUCAAAAGGUUCAUCGGUGGAUUGAUCUAAGCCUUUUGUUGUAGUUUAUAAAUAUUUUGUUGCUUAUAAUGUAAGAAAUUUUACAGGAGCUGAUGCUGAGUAGUCUGAAUAAGAAAAUUAAUUAUAUUGUAAGAUACUGGGUAUUCAUGAUAAAAUAAAUAAAUAAAAAAUGAAUAAAAAUUUAAAUCCUUAAUUAAUUUUUAUCAAAUUCUUAUCAAAUAUUUAAAAAAGUAUAUAAAAUCAAUUAAUUGAUGGUAUUAUUAAUUUUCAUGAUUAAUAUUAAAUAUAAAUAAACAAUAAUGACAUAAAUUAAAGUCUCAUAAAUGGAUAACUUUUUUUUCCUUAAUCUUAUCCCAAGUCCCAACUAAAGGAAUGUGUAAAUUAGGAUUAUUAAUCCCAUAAUUUUAAGAUUAAACUUAAAUUUAGUCCCUUAGUCCAAUUCAAUUAAGCUUACCAAAUUUGAUAUAAAUAUAUAAUCACAAAAUUAGUCCAAUUCCAUACUUAAUCCUAGUAUCCGACCAUGGCCUGAUAAAAUAGUUUAGGUAAUAUACUUUUAUGACUAGGGUUGGUAGAAAAGCCCGGGCCGGCCUAGGCCCGCAGGCUUUAAGCCCGACCCGUGGUUUGAAAUUAUGGAUAAAGGCUCGUAAUUAAUGAAGCCCAUAACAUAUGGGCUCAGUUAAGGGUCUAAAUGAAAAGCCUGGGCUUAAGCCCAGGCUUUAUAAUAAAUAAUAUAUAUAUAUAUAUAUUUUAAAAAAAAUUGUAUAAUAUAUUAUGAAAUUGAAAUUAAAAAAAAAAUUUAAACAAAACAAUAAAAAAAAUCGGGCAAAGGGCAAAGGUUUUGUCACAACUCACAAAAUCCCUAAAUCGGUAAAUCAAAAUAUCAAAUUAUUCGUGUUUCGUGAGCACCAUUUCGUGAGCAGUGAGCACCUGACAAAAUCUCACUCACUGUCACGGCGUCACCGUGCCGGCGUCUCACUGUUCUCGCCACCGGCAGCCAACAGUAGAGCAUCUCUAGAUUCCAGCAGCGUCGUCCAGCCAGCAUCAGCCAUCAGCGACCCACCUUCCAGCAGCAGUAGCAGCGAGCAUCUCCCGCGUAAGGCCAAUCCCACCGCCCAGCCACCCACCGUCCAGCCACCCAGCAAGGCAGCAACAGCAUCUCCCGCGUGUCGCAGGCUCGCAGCAGUGCCUCCCAGCAAUUUCCAUCAACAUUGGUAAGCAUUUUUUUGUGUCCUCACUCCUCAGUUUCUUGAUCUUUUCUUUGUCCCUUUCAGUGAUCUGGGUAAUGCUGCAUUUGAUCUUUUCAAAGUGGACUCUUUUUGAUCUGUUUGUUGUUCUAAAUUUUGUAAUUUUUUAUAUGGGUUUCGGCCAGUGGAGGAUUUGAUUUGAUUUUUUAUAUGGGUUUCGGCUCAUUUUCUUUAAAGCUUGUAAGUGUUUGUAGGUUGUUAAGAGGAUUUCAAUAGUUAAAGUAGAAAGAUUUGAUUUGUUAGUGAUUGAGAUGAUACCGGUUUCAAUAGUUAAAGGCUGUUAAGAGGAUUCCAAUGAUAUAGAAUUUAUUUCCUGUCUUCAAUUGCAGAGUGUUUAUAUUUCUCAAUACUGUUUAAUUUCCAUAUUCAUAUUAUUUUUCUCAGCCUGUACUAAGGUGAUGUCUCCAUUGUAUAGAUACUGACAUACUGUAUGGAGUUCUGGACAUUGUAAAUUUGUUGUCCUGUCACUCCUGUGCUUGUAAAUGCAGUAUGCGUUUAGUGCAUUUACACUUAGCUUAAUUAAUUUAUUAAUUUAAUAUUUUAUCUCCUUUAAUUUUGUAUAGGUUUAUAAUGGAAAAUGUCUCUGAACCUUCUAAUUUGCCUUCAAAUCUAUCUGUGGAGUCGGAAAAUGUUCAAGAAGAAAUGCGGAGUGAUAAAAAAAGAAAACAGAGGGUUGUUUCAAAUUGUUGGGACCAUUUUACAAAACUAAAUGUUGGUAGUGUAGCAAAGGCAAAAUGCAAUCAUUGUGGAACGGUUCUUUCUUGUGGAUCGGGAACCAGUCAUUUGAAUAGACAUACUAGACAAAUUCACGGUUUUAAUCAACCGACAAAUAGUUUUAUUAAAAAAAAUUUUGAAAAUUCGUAAAAGCCCAGGCCCAGCCCUAGGCCCGGCUCGCCCAAUUUGAAUGGGCUUUGAGAGGGCCUGGACUUUUUAAACUUUAUAAGGGCCUGGUCCUGGGCUUGGCAAAGCCCGGCCCAGACCCUUAAAUUGCCAACCCUAUCUAUGACUCACAAUUUAAAUAAAUUUGAGAAUUUAUAUAAGGGAUGGAAAAUUCACAAUAAUCAUAACAUGUGCUAUCUUUUCUUCCUUUUCUUAAUUAAAUAAAAGAAAAAAAUUAAUGACAGAACCACUGCUGUGUGAUAUCGAUGAAGUCGCAUUCGCCUACCUAAUAUUGCGCAAUCAGAUAGAAAAAAGGGUCGGCUGCAUGAUUUUUCCAACUUUUGUCUUAUUUUUCUCUUUUCCACUACAAAUUAAUUUGAGAAUGUUAUAUUUUCCAAUUCUCUUUUUGUCGUGACAUAAUAGACUAAAGCGGAAUCACAUACUUUUUCAAAUGACCAAAUGGCUUUGGCCUACCUGAUAAUAAAAGGAAUGGAUCCAUACGUUAAAGCUAAAUUGAAAAAUAUAAUAAAUAAAUUGUCAGGAGAUGAUUUUAUCAAAAGUUUCACUCGCACGGUCCCGACCAAAUACAAAUUUGUGAUGAUAUUCAUAAUGAAUUUAUACAAUUAGGCGAAACUACUCUAUAUAGUUUCAUCGAUAUAUAUUAGACCAUUACAAAUAUACUAAUAUUUAUAAUAAAAAAAAUUUAUGACUAUUUUAAAUCGACUGUAUUAUAUGUGAAUUCACAAGAUUCAUAGAUAGAUUGCACUGAGCUUUUUGUUGCAGUUUACAAAUAUUUUGUUACUAAUUAUCUUAAGAGCAGCAAGUAACUAAGAAAUUUCACAAGUGCUGAUGCUGUGUACUCUGCAGAAUUAACAAUGAAUUAUUAUGAAUCAGAGAAACAGGGCAGACACUGUACAAUUAUUGACGUGGUGGAGCAGAAAGCUAGCCCCAGACAGUGACUCAUGUGGGGACUCCUUCAAUUUGCAGCACAAAAGAACGUUCACAUUGACAUUGACUUGAGGGUAAAAAUUAAAUAACUCCUAUGGUAUAAGAAGAAUGCAAACAUGCUUGAAUGAACAUUCUCACAGAAUACAUAAAACCUACUUUCCUCUGAGCAUUUUAGCAAGAAAAGCAAUUGCAUCAUUUAUCAUUUGAUCUAAUAUCAGAAUGGCUCAUGCAAUCGUUUCCUCUCUCCUGGACCAGCUGAAUUCCAUUGCUCAAGGUCAGGUGAAAGAAAAGUUGAGGCUUGUGACGGGUGUCGAACAAGAAGUGGGUAAGCUUACCACCAAUCUUCAAGCCAUUCAAGCUAUGCUGGAAGAUGCAGAGCAGAGGCAAAUGAAGCAGGACAAAGCUGUUACGUUUUGGCUGGAUCAGCUCAGAGACGCAUCCUACGACAUGGAAGAUGUGUUGGAAGAGUGGAUCACUGAAACACGGAAAUUGCAGCUUGAUGAGGGCGGCGAUGAUGAUGAUGAUGAUAACGACAAUGCUUUUGUUACUCUUUUGACGAAGGUAUGUUCCUUCUUUCCUGCUGCCUCAAACUGCUUUGGUUGUUUCAAACAACUCAGUCUUCGUCAUCAUAUUGCUGUCAAGAUUAGAGAAAUCAGUAAAAGGCUAGAUGAAAUUGCCACUCGAAAAGAUAGGUUUAAUUUUGUUGAGAAUGUGAGUAACAAUGUUAGGAAUCCAGAGCGAGUGCGAACCAUCUCCUUGAUUGAUGAGAGAGAGGUUUACGGUAGAGUUGAGGAGAAAAAUGAGCUCUUAAGCAAGUUGUUGUGUGAAAGUAGUGAACAACAAAAAGGCCUUCAUGUCAUUUCACUAGUUGGGUUGGGGGGUAUAGGUAAAACCACUCUUGCACAAUUGGCGUAUAAUAAUGAUGAGGUGAAAAUAAAUUUUGAAAAAGUUAUAUGGGUGUGUGUAUCGGACACUUUUGAUCAGAUUAGGGUUGCCAAAGCAAUCAUUGAAGAUCUAGGUGAGUCAGCUUCUGGUUUAAACGAAUUCCAAUCUCUUAUGAGCCGUAUCCAGAGUUCAAUUAAAGGAAAAAAAAAUUUUCUUGUCUUAGAUGAUGUAUGGGAUGGGGAUUACAAUGAAUGGGAACCAUUCUUCCUUUGUCUAAAAAAUGGUCUCCACGGAAGUAAAAUUUUGGUUACCACACGUAAUGAGUCAGUUGCACGUAUGAUGGGAUCAACAGAUAUUAUCUCCAUUAAGCAAUUGGCUGAAGAGGAAUGCUGGUCAUUGUUCAAGCAGUUAACAUUUUUCGGUCGUUCUUUUGAGGAUCGUGAAAAAUUAGAACCAAUGGGGCGAAAAAUUGCACACAAGUGCAAAGGCUUGCCUCUUGCUGCAAAGGUAAUAGGGAAUCUCUUGCGCUCUAAAAGUACAGUAAAAGAGUGGCAAAGAAUUUUAGAGAGUGAAAUGUGGAAAGUAGAAGAGAUUGGGCAAGGUCUUUUAGCUCCUUUGUUGUUGAGUUAUAAUGAUUUGCCCUCCAAUUCUAUGGUAAAACGGUGUUUCUCAUAUUGUGCUGUCUUUCCAAAAGACUACAAUAUGGAUAAAGAGGAAUUGAUUAAUCUGUGGAUGGCUCAAGGUUACCUUAAUGCAGAAGAAGACGAAGAGAUGGAGAUGAUUGGGGAAGAGUGUUUCAACAUUUUAGCAACACGCUCUUUCUUUCAAGAAUUUAAGAAAAAUGCUGAUGAUGAUAUUAUGAGUUGUAAGAUGCAUGACAUAGUACAUGAUUUUGCCCAAUUUGUAAGUAGCAAAGAAUGUUUGUGGGUAGAAAUUAAUGGUACCAAAGAAUCAGUCAUAAACUCUUUUGGUGACAAAGUCCGUCACUUAGGGUUAAAUUUUCAAAGAGGCACUUCAUUUCCUAUGUCCAUUCGUGGACUUGAUAGAUUGCGUACCCUCCUAAUUGAUGAUGGAAGUCUGUCUCUUAGUAGUAGCAUCCUUUCGGAGUUAUUUAGUAAAUUGGCGUGUUUAAGGGCAUUAGUUAUAAUGCAAGGUUUUCAUCCUGAGACAAGUAGGAUUAGAGAAAUUCCAAAAAAUGUCGGAAAAUUGAUACAUUUAAAAUAUCUUAAUUUGAAUAGACUAUGUAUAGAGAUACUACCUGAGACUUUGUGUGAAUUAUAUAAUUUACAAAAGCUAGAUAUUAGUUGGUGCCGAAAUCUUAGAGAAUUGCCAGCGGGGAUUGGAAAGUUAAAGAACAUGAGGAGUUUACUGAAUGAUAACACUUAUUCAUUGAAGUACAUGCCGAUAGGGAUUUCCAAAUUAACCAAUCUUCGAACAUUAAAAAAGUUUGUGGUGGGUGGAGGUGUUGAUGGUAGCAAUACGCGUAGGCUUGAAUCUCUGAAAAAUCUUCAACUCCUUCGAGAAUGUGGAAUAGAAGGGCUGGGUAAUGUGUCCCAUUUAGAUGAGGCUGAGAGGUUACAACUUUACAAUAAGAAAAACCUCCUUCGUUUGCGUCUUGUGUUUGGUGGAGUCUUACAUGGGGAAGGCGAGAAAGAUAAACAACUUCUUGAAGCCUUACAACCGCCUUUGAAUGUAGAGGAAUUAUGGAUUAUGUUCUACCGAGGCAACAUUUUUCCCAAAUGGUUGACUUUGCUAACCAAUCUAAGGAAUUUAACACUUUCCUUGUGCAUUAACUGUGAGCAUUUGCCUCCUUUGGGAAAAUUGCCUCUGGAAAAACUCAAACUAUGGAAAUUAAAAAGUGUAAAAAGAGUGGGUAAUGAGUUUUUGGGAAUAGAAGAAAGCAGUGAGGACGACCCAUCUUCAUCUUCAUCGUCAUCAUCAGUUAUUGCCUUCCCCAAAUUGAAAUCACUCGAAAUUGUAGCAUUGGAAGAAUUGGAAGAGUGGAAUUACAGGAUUACGAGGAAGGAAAACAUCUCCAUCAUGCCCCGUCUUUCUUUCUUAAAAGUUGUUUUUUGCAACAAAUUAAAGGCGCUGCCGGAUUACCUUCUUCAAACGACGGCACUGCAGGAACUGCGUAUUUUUUCUUGUGAUCUUCUAGAAGAACUGCCCAUUCUAGAAGAUCGCAGGACAACAGACAUACCACGUCUUUCUUCCUUGCGAAUUUCGGAUUGCCCCAAAUUAAAGGUGCUGCCGGAUUACCUUCUUCGGACGACGACGCUGCAGGAAUUGACAAUUUGGAGAUGUCUCAUUCUGGAAAACCGUUAUAGAGAGGGGGAAGGAGAAGACUGGUAUAAGAUAUCCCACAUUCCCCACAUCAAGUGGUCGCCGUAAGAUAUCACUCGCCGGUAAUUUCUCCUCCUCCUCUGAUUUACUUCGUUGUUGCUUGCAAUGAAAUUAAUAAAAAUAAUUAUAUUUUGAAUUAAAAUUCUAUAUAGAAUCAAUCAUGGUAUAAAUAUGUAAAACUUCCUAGUUAUCAAAUCUGUUAAACUUGUUUUCUAAAGAUUAAAUAAUUAAAAAAAAACCAAGUGUAGUAUGUUGAAAUUUCUAUAUUUUCUUUUAAAAAAUUUGUGCUCUUUUAUAAAAUUUGAUACAACAUCGUAGAAAAUCCCAAUGUAAUUUAUUUUUUAAUGUACGAAAAGUUGUUAUGUGUAACUUCCUGAGAGAAAAAAUCUCUGUGAUACAUUUGCAGUAAUGUUGAAAACUAAAUUAUCAAUUUUAUCUUGUAUAAUGAUAAUCGUAUUUUUUUAUAUAUAAUUUAUGUGACAUUAAUUCUUUAAAGUAAUUGUGUAAUUGUUUUUAGUAGUACAUUAGCCCACUUUGUUUUAUUUCAUACGAGUUUAAUUAUGUUCACCAGGGAUUCGAGGAAAUGUCAGAACCACACUAGCAAUUCACAGGUCCAAUCUAAUUUGGUUUUAAUGAUGCAGGCAGGAGAGUAUUCUAAGAAAAUGAAAAGUUUAGCCAAAGGAUUGCUAAAAUGUUCUGCUGGUAAUUCACUUGCUUUAUUUUAUAGAAUUUCAUUUCCAUCUUCUUCUAUUGAUAUCUUGUUGUGAAUAAACAAGAACAGAGAAGUAAAUGAUUGAACCACAGAGAAGUAAAGAUAUAUCCAAAUUCGAUUAUUAUGAUGAUUAAAGCAAGCUCAAGCUCACGCAUUGCAUUUUUUAUUUUAUUUAGUUUAUAGAAUUUUCAUUUCCACCUGCAUUGCAUUUUUAUUUCAUUUUUAGGUUGACGUUGAAGACUCUAUGGAAAACAUUGGGGUAACCAAGGAUUAUCACUGUGGUUAUUGUGCAACGUUUGGUUGCUGGACUUUGAAGAAGGAAGUGAUGGCCGGGUCUGCUCUGUUUCAAUUGAGGAUGGAUAGCUGCCUGAAAGACAUGAUGAUUAUUAUUGCAUGAUGUUUAGGUGCUAAGAUAAUCAUUUAUAUCUUGCUUCAUUCUUGGAAUCAUUUAUCCUAUAUAAACAUAUUGAAUUGUGCUAAUAUUAUCAAUUUUUUCACCUAAUUUUCACUGUUGUUGUGAAAAGAAUUUCAGGCUCUCAAAAGCUACAAAGCAAAGCAUUUGUGGGCUGAUCAUAUGUUUCAAUUGAGGAAGGAGCUUGGUGUUGGCAAUAUUGUCCAGGUAACCACAGCUGAUAAUUUCCACAAAUUUGCAUUGUCAGAAUACACUUUAAUGUUCAUGGUGUUCCUCUGUGUUAUCAGGUUAUCGUGGUAUGUAAAGUAUCAUCUUUAAGGAUUUGUAAUAGACUUUGCAUUAAACUUAGUUGUCACCAGCUCCUGCAAUUGCUCACUCAUUCAAGAGUACUUCAAAAUUAGAUUUUCAAGGUUUGUAUGUUUAGUUGUGAUCAAAAUGUUUAGUCACUCAUUCUUAAUCUUUUCUGAUUUUCAAGUUCUUUAGGGUCAUAAACAGUUUUCCAACUCAUUCUUAAUUUUUAGGUUGAUUUCGAGUACCAUGUUGAGGACAUUCCUGAGACCAAGGAUUAGGCUGGCGAAGGAACCACUACCUCUGUUGUUAUUGUGCAAGGUUUGAUCAUUGGACCUUGAAUAAGAAUCCCUUACACGCAUUCUGUAAUUGAAGCGUUCUCUAAAGCAACAGAGCAGUUGAAGGAAUAGUGAUGGCCGGAUCUGCUCUAUCUUAAUUGAAGAUCUCUGUGAUGUUGAGGAGCUUAAAGCAGUUGUUGCUUUUUGAUUCCUGAAGACGAGUAUCUAAUGAUUGUUAAGGCGUAUUUCAUGAACUUCCUUUCUUAACGAAUGUUUCAAUGCUGGCUGUAGUAACAAUUUCAUAUCUUGCAUCUCUCGGGUGCAUCAUGUUCACGGGUUUGAAAAAGCAUUUGUGGUAAUGCUUCAAAGCUUGUACAAUGGCUGUGAAAAGGCACAUUCAAUUAGGUACGUUUUGGUGCGGUCUCCCAAUGCUAAUAUUAUAUUUUGUAUAGCAAUUAAAAUUUAGCUAUACAAUCUUAAUAUGCAAUAAAUCAUUGUAUACAAAGUUUUCUAUUAAUUAUAUGGUGACUGAAAUUUUAAUUAUCAUAUAUCAAUUUAAAUUUUUUUGUUACUCUCUUUUACUUUGCUUGUACAGAGUACCUGUUUUGGCUGAUAUGUCUAAUUCGUAGAAAUUCAUUUCCAUCGGUUUCCAUUGGCUUUAGCACAAACCGAAACAGAUCUCUGGGGAAAAGUUUUACUUCUUGUGAUAUUAUGCCUUUGUUUCUUCAUUCAUCAUAUUUUUCGAAUUCAUGCUCUCAUUCAGAGGGUAAAGCCUUUUUGAUGCAGCGGAAGUUUAAUGUUCAAAAUAUUCCGUUGAUUCUAGAGAAUACCGGAAUAAAAGAACAACUAAAUUCACGUUGAUUCAAAAGAAUACCGCGAACUUAGGGGUUAAGACUCGUUGAUUCAGAAUACCGAGAAUUAACUAUUCAAAUACUCACAAAGAGAUUUGAAAAUUGAAAUAUUAUUGAACUCAAAAUUCUCUACUUGUAAAAGUUACAAAAGACACUUAUUUAUACUAAAUAAGACUUAUCCUAAUAUGAUUAGAAAACCUAUUUUAAUAAGACUUAUGCCUAAAUUAGGAAUAUUAUCCAAAUAAGCAAUACCUAAACAAUAAGACUCUAAAUAGGAAACCAAAUUAAACUAGAAUACAAAUUAAUUAAAAUAUUCCUAAAUAUUAUACAUUUAAAUAUAAUUAGGAUUUCUUCAAUUUCUUGCUAUGCAUCAUUCCCGCCAGGUUGGAGAAAAUUCGUCCUCGAAUUUUGUAUAUUGUAAUCUUCAAGAAUAUCUUCAUGUGCAUAAGGAUUAAUUUUUAAAACAGAGCUUUGACAUAGACGACGAACUUUAAAUUUUCCAACUUUUGUAAUAACGUCCAUCCAAUCACUCCAAUGGCGUAAAAUAAAUUCUUCUAUCAACAACUUCUCCAAUAAUGUCUUCUCAUAUUGUUCGUGUCGAACUUCAACAUAGUUAAGGAAAAAUGAUUUUUUCUUAUAAUCCACUAACUGUUGAAAAAUAUCACAACUCUUUUUGUCUUCUUUCGGCAAAUCAAGAGAACAAUAAGAGAUUGUAUCAAUAACUAUCUCUCUCUCCUCCACAAGAUCAAAAGAUGGAUAAACAAUUACCUCUUCUCGUCCCACAAUAUCAAGAUUCUCAUCAAAUUUCGGCGAUUGAUCCAAAUCAAUAUUGUCUUUGUGUUGAGGAUUUGUUGUAGACAUGAAUGGCCAAUUAAUAUUCUCCUCGGAAGGAAUAAUAUUGUCGAAAGGAACAAAGUUACAAUUUUCCUCAUUAUCUUCAUAACAAACAUCACCGUGAACAACUUCAUCAAAUCCAUAUGCAUGCUUUAUGUGUAAAGAUUUUCUAUCUCGAAUUUUCUCUAAAUCUUGAGAAAUUGAACGCAAAAUCCUCAACAUCUUAACUAAAACAUCUCUCAAGAUGAAAUCUUCACGUCGAUAUUGUGAUUUCAUGAUAUAAUUUUUUUCUUUUUUUUUUCCUAUGCUUUUUUUUGGUGUUGUUUGGGUUUUUUUUUUUUAAACUAAACGGAAAAAAACAAAAAAGGAAAAAAGGAAAGGUUUGGUGGUAGAUGGAGUUAGAUUGGUGAGACCAGGUUUUGGCUCUGAUACCAAGCUGAUGCAGCGGAAGUUUAAUGUUCAAAAUAUUCCGUUGAUUCUAGAGAAUACCGGAAUAAAAGAACAACUAAAUUCACGUUGAUUCAAAAGAAUACCGCGAACUUAGGGGUUAAGACUCGUUGAUUCAGAAUACCGAGAAUUAACUAUUCAAAUACUCACAAAGAGAUUUGAAAAUUGAAAUAUUAUUGAACUCAAAAUUCUCUACUUGUAAAAGUUACAAAAUACACUUAUUUAUACUAAAUAAGACUUAUCCUAAUAUGAUUAGAAAACCUAUUUUAAUAAGACUUAUGCCUAAAUUAGGAAUAUUACCCAAAUAAGCAAUACCUAAACAAUAAGACUCUAAAUAGGAAACCAAAUUAAACUAGAAUACAAAUUAAUUAAAAUAUUCCUAAAUAUUAUACAUUUAAAUAUAAUUAGGAUUUCUUCAAUUUCUUGCUCUGCAUCACUUUUCCAGGCUGCUUUGUAGCCAAACUUUGACGCCUUUGAUGCAUGACUGUCAUUUAGAUUUUCCAAAUAACUGUUAGAUUGGAGAAGAAUAAGAAGAUACUGUUAAAAGGGUAUUUAAUUAGCGCCCUCUGAAUUUCUUGGAGUUAAUGUAGUCAAUUGCCCAAUUUUGCUUCAAACUCUGAGACACCUAAUAAAUAGUUGGAGGUGGUGGUAUUCGCCUGGUGUUAAUUUCCUGGCAAGUAUAGUUCACAGAUAGAGGGGUUCUUUUCUUGAUGUCUAAUUACCGUAUGUGAUACAACAUCGUGUAUUCCAAUUUUUCUCCAGUUAAAUUUUAAUACGUUAGAAAAGUUAAUUUUUUUUUAGCAAUGAAUUGUUUUCUUAAUAAUAAUAAUUGCCAUGUUCCUCUGAAGUCUUAUUAAUACCAGACCACCAACUACUAGGUUCAUCUCUCGUUCACUUCCUCAGGGAAUCUCGAGGGCAUUCAUUGGCAGGUAGUCUUUCUUGUUGAGCUCCUGGAAUUACUUUUAAUUUAUCAUUUGUUGGGUUUUGCUUUUUGAUUGCUUUGGGAUUUGUGUUAUUAUCGCUUUGUCGCUCAUUAAUCUUGGCUGUUUUGAAUCUGUGUUGGAUUUAGAAGUUUGGAGUUGAAAACAGUUAAAGCUUAGACUAGUAGAAGAGAUUUAUACAUUCAUUUAUCUUGGACAAAGUUUUUGGGGGAAAAAAAAAUUAUAAGUAUACACUUUCCAAUGGUUCGGUGAUGUUUGAUUGGUUUAAAGAUGUUGGAUCUCUCAUCAGAUUUCUUAUGUAUCGACUGCUGUUGCCACAGGAUGCUUGCAGAUCCUGCUUUUUUGUAUAAACUUCUACUAGAGCAGGCUGCCACAAUUGGUUGCACUGUUUUGUGGGAGUUGGAGAAUCAUAAGGAGAGGUGUGUUUUUUCUCUCAUAACAAAGGAACUCUUCCCUUCCUUUUUAUUUUCAUCUUAUAUAUUAAGCUAAUAAAUGUUUGCUUCUGUCGUGAUGGGAUAAAGCAAGAAUGGGAUCAGCUUAGUUUUGGUGCUUUCCUUGGACUAUAUGCAAACAUGAGAUAUCAGCUAUUGUGUGGAUUUGAUAGAGCGGUCAUCAACCAUUUUGAUGUUACCAGGUUAUCUCUCCCUCUCCCUCUUCUACGCAUUUGUUUAUUGAUCUACAUCUCUAUAUACAUUGAUAGACUAUUCUGGACGUACCAAAUUACCCUUGUUUUAAUGUUUUGCCUGGGGAAUCUGUUUAUUUGUCUGAUAAGAGGUUAGUGUGGUUUCUAUUGAAGUGUGUAGAUCUAUCACCAAGUAUUAUUUCAAUUUUUCUUUACUUAAUCAACUUGCAUCCUUUCCAAGUCCAGAUCCUUAACAAUAGUGCGACAUCGCUACAGAAGUACAAUUUCUCUAGUUUGACAGUUAAAUACGUAAGAAUGGUUUUAAAUUAACUGAACUCUGUGAUAGUUCUCUAAGGAAAUACAAGUGGUGAAUCCGGUUCCAACUUUUAAGUGCCUUAAUUUACCCAUUUGUUCAGCCCUGUGUGUAAACAAUCAGUAAUUGUUGUCCAAAUUAUACUUUACUGCCUAUAUGUGUUGGACUUUGUCUAUUGUUCAACUUCUCAAAUGGAUUCCAUGCAGGGUUCUUAAUGUCCAAUUAGGAGAAAGAUCAAGGCUUGCUUGGCUAGGAGUGGAAGCGGAUCCGCUACUUCAAUCAUAUGACCUUUUGAAGAAGGCUUACAACGGGGCGGCUCAGGAUGUCAAUGGCUCAACUCAAAAGUCCCCAAGGUGGUUGAUAUCAAAGAAUGCCAAUGUCUCUGGGCUUGGGCUCCUUGGCAUCAAACAAGGGAAUGUCGACUCUGUUGAAGGGGAAGCAAGGGCUCCUAAAGUGCGAAGAAAGAGGAUAGUCCGGAAGAAGGUGACCGCAUAAAUUUCUUGGGAGUUAAUCCGAGUCAAUAGCCCAAUUUUGCUGCCUGUCGAAGAGAUACAACUCGGAAGUCGUCAUCAAACUCUUUGAGACAUCUAAGAACUCGGAGGGAGGUGGUGGUAUUCAGUGUGUUUCCUGGCAAGUAUAGUGCAGUGAUAGAGGGAUUCUUUUCUUGAUGUCUAAAUACUAUAUGUGAUACAACGUCGUAUAUUCCAAUUUUUCUCCAGUUAAAUUUUAGUAAGUUAGAAAAGUUAAUUUUGUUAUAGCGAUGAAUUGUUUUCUUAACAAUAAUAAUGGCCUGUUGUUUUGGAAUCUUAUUCACUCUUGUAACCUAGUUAAAUUGUGCAAAGUCUACUGCAGAUUUGUCAAACUGAGUGUCUUUGUGAUUGUUUUGAUACACUUUUGAUCGCAAGUUCAAGUUUGAAUCAUCUUGUAAUGCCAAGAAAACCAUAGCGCUAUUAGUUACUAGAUCGCACUCGAGUUUUUGUUUGACUUUUAACUACGAGAUCAGCUUUUAGUAUUAGCUGUAGUUAUAAUAUAAACGUUAAUUAUGAAACUCUUACCAAAUUUUAGUUGUACUUUCUAGCCCGAUUGUAGAAAUCCAUACAAGAUGCUACUCAAUUUUACUUAAUCUUACUCGUCUUUGAUUUGUAAAUUUUAUGCCUAAAUUUUUGUCAACAAAUUGGUCCCAGUUCCAAGGUUCUUCAGCUUGGGUGAUCCCAGCAAAACCAUUACGUCCAUUCAAAAGGGUUCCACGUUGAGUGCACGAGAUCCACAAGUUUGAUUGGGCAGAAAUACCUGAUGAAAAACCUGAUGAAACCCACGUCCAAAGAUGCCUUUUGUUGCGGAGGCCUAGACGCGACACCCCAUCCCCUUUUACCAUAUUUUAUAAUUGAAGAGGCCAUUAUUGAAUUUAAAAAUUAUGAUUCAAAAUCCAAAAAUAGAAAAAGAAAAACAACCGUUGGAAACCACUCGAAAUUUUAAGUUGAUAUGAGAAAAGAUUUUUUCAUCAUCAUCAUUACUAUUAUUUCUUUUUAACAAAAAUUAAGCUAAGACAACAUUAUAUACCCAAAAUACCCCUCACAUUAUCCCAAACUUUCUAAACUCCCCCACUCCUCUCAACAUCAUCUCUUCCAAAUCUUUCUUCCUCCAAAAAGCAGCCAUGGCUUCAAAUUCAAUCACCUCAACACUCCAAUAUUGGCUUGUAAACCACCCCAAAAUCCUCAACUUCACAUGGACUCAAAACCAAACCCCAGCUUCCUCCCCACACUUCCUCAUUCUCUCCAUCCUCACUUACCUCUCCCUCACAUUCAUCCUCUACCACAAAUUAACGCCAACAUCACCAUCAUCAUCACCUCUCAUUGGACCCCACAUCCUCAAGCCCAUCACAGCCGUCCAUAACCUCACCCUCCUCCUCCUCUCCCUCGUCAUGGCCGUUGGUUGCACUCUCUCCAUCGUCCUCCAUUCACCCAACCUCCGUCACACCCUCUGUUUCCCCCCCACCAUUUCUGCCUCCGGUCCCCUCUUCUUCUACGCUUACAUCUUCUACCUCUCCAAAAUACUCGAAUUCCUAGACACCCUUUUGAUCAUUUUGUCAAACUCCAUCCAACGGCUCACGUUCCUCCACGUCUACCA